rnacentral:lncRNA from 1 species
GAACAUUCUUUGGUCGAUAUAAAUUCACUUUAGCAUGACUUAAGGCUAAAAGAAAGGAUAAAAAAUUGGCGAUUAUGAUUAUUUAAGUAUCUAAUAAACAGUUGAAUACAAUCAUUAAAUGGAAAAUUGCUCUGUUUUGUCCAAGGGUAAAGGUUUCCAAUAACUCAGCAAACCCAUUUCUCUAUUUGUGCUUUUCUUUGGAGCUCUCCUUGGACAGGACUUGAUAACUAUUGCAAAACUUGCUGCUGUUUUUAUAAGCAUGGAUGGUGUUGCCAUGACGACAGUUGGAAAAACUUGGGCAGUGGAUGAAUUUCUUAGUGCCUCUGAAGAAGAUAAAUACGUUGUUAAUAAGUUGUGCUGAGCUUUUACUUUAAAACUACUUACCUUUCUUCCUCUUUUUAUUUGCCGUAAAUUUAUGCAAUAUAUCAAUCUACUUUUUUCCGAAGAUGAUACUUGUAAUAAGAUUGUAUGAUGCACUUAGUGUAAUGUACUAGAUUUUGGUGGAUUUUUAUAAUAUGUAGAAACUAUUAUGUUUGAUAUAGGAAUAGUUAAUUUGAUUUAUUUUCAUUAAAUUGUGUUUCCUAUCAUUACUAAAAAAAAUAAAUUGAUUAAAUUGAUUUAGCGGAUGGGAAAAUAAACCUAUAAAUUUGUGUGGGAAUUAAUAGAAUUAAAAAUGGUUGCAAGGUUAUUUGUAGUGGAGAUUUUGGCUAUAAAAAGCGCUAGUAGAAUAUAAGAGCUCUUCCGAAUUUAUUUGUGAGGCCACUUAUUGCAACCAUUAGUAUUUUACUCAUUUUUAGUUUUUUUUUUUUAUCAAACUUAAUAGUUAAGUCAUAUUUUGUUUUAGCACGCUUAUUUCUUCACUUUAAUGGUUCACUUUCACAAAUUUCACUCAAAUGUGAAAAUUUUCAAUUUCCAAGACAACUUAGUUGAAAGUCAUUCAUUGGGUUUACUACUUUUUCAAGCCUUAAUCAACAAAUUGAAGGCAUACAUUGCUUAACUAGAAUUUCAAUAAUAAUUACAAAAAAUUAAAACAAUUAGGAUUAUUGAUAUAAUAAUUAACAACCAAAAACCAAAUAUUUAUAUAUUCAAUCAUACUUUUCUUUAAUAAAAAGCGAGUGCUAUAUUUCAAAGAUUAAAAUUAAAUAUAACACACUAAGAGGCUUUGAUAGUUCUCCAACCAAACGAAAGAUUUAAAACACUUAAAAGCAAAUUCGGAUUGGAAUAUUAUUAUUUUGUUGGUUACCUUUAUUCAUAAUACAAAUACUAUUCGAAAGUGAUUAUAUUUAUAAAAAAUUAGAAGAAAAAUGUUAACAAAAUAAUAUUAUUGAAUGUCUAAAACGAACACUUGUAGUCUAAAGUUUGACCAUUGAAAGAUUAAAAUCGGUGCACGAAAUUCAAGUGAAACGGUUAGAUUUAAGACUAAAUAAAUAGUAUUCGUACAAUGAGUGUUGUUAAAUCCCUUAAUAUUCUUCUAAUGCUUAUGUUAAAGUCACUUUACAAAAUGGUGGAUUAAAAAUUUUCGAGUGUCUGGAAAAUAAUUAUCUAAAACAUUGAAUAGUAAAUUUAAAACACAUUACUUAAAAUAUGUAACAAUGAGUACCUCUGUAACAAUGAACAUAAACAUCAAAUAUAAAACUCCGAACUUAAAACAUAAAACAUGAACCAUAAACAUGAAACGAGGGCAAAAUAGAACAUUUUUAAGGCAUUUAAAAAUUAUUACAUAAAACAUUAAACAAUAAAUAUGAAACACGUUACUUAAAAUAUGCAACAACGAACAUAAAAUAUGAGUACCUCCGUAACAGUGAACAUGAAACAUAAAACAUGAAACAUAGAACAGCAAACAUGAAACACAGAACGUAAACAUGAAACGGGGGCAAAAAGAAAAAUUUCGGGGUAUUUAAAAAAUUAUUACAUGAAAUAUUGCACAACCAACGUGAAACAAAUCACUUAAAAUAUGCAACAACGAACAUAAAAUAUGAGUACCUCCGUAACAGUGAACAUGAAACAUAAAACAUGAAACAUAGAACAGCAAACAUAAAACAUGAAACAUAGAACAGCAAACAUAAAACAUAGAACGUAAACAUGAAACUAGGGCAAAAAAGAAAAAUUUCGGGGUAUUUGAAAAAUCAGUACAUGAAACAUUGCACAACCAACGUGAAACAGAUCACUUAAAAUAUGCAACAACGAAUAUAAAAUAUGAGUACCUCCGUAACAGUGAACAUGAAACAUAGAACAACAAACAUGAAACAUAGAACGUAAACAUGAAACAGGGGCAAAAAAGAAAAAUUUCGGGGUAUUUGAAAAAUCAGUACAUGAAACAUUGCACAACUAACAUGAAACAGAUCACUUAAAAUAUGCAACAACGAACAUAAAAUAUGAGUACCUCCGUAACAUGGAACAUGAAACAUAAAACAUGAAACAUAGAGCAGCAAACAUGAAACAUAGAACGUAAACAUGAAACGGGGGCAAAAAAGAAAAAUUUCUGGGUAUUUGAAAAAUCAGUACAUGAAACAUUGCACAACCAACGUGAAACAGAUCACUUAAAAUAUGCAACAACGAACAUAAAAUAUGAGUAUCUUCGUAACAUGGAACAUGAAACAUAAAACAUGAAACAUAGAACAGCAAACAUGAAACAUAGAACGUAAACAUGAAACGGGGGCAAAAAAGAAAAAUUUCAGGGUAUUUGAAAAAUCAGUACAUGAAACAUUGCACAACCAACAUGAAACAAAUCACUUAAAAUAUACAACAACAAACAUAAAAUAUGAGUCCCCCCGUAACAGUGAACAUGAAACAUAAAACAUCAAACAUUGAAACAUAUAACGUAAACAUGAAACGGGGGCAAAAAAGAAAAAUUUUGGGGUAUUUAAAAAAUCAGUACAUGAAACAUUGCACAACUAACAUGCAACAGAUCACUUAAAAUAUGCAACAACGAACAUAAAAUAUGAGUACCUCUCUAACAGUGAACAUGAAACAUAGAACAGCAAACAUGAAACUUGAACGUAAACAUGAAACGGGGGCAAAAAAGAAAAAUUUCGGAGUAUUUGAAAAAUCAGUACAUGAAACAUUGCACAACAAACAUGAAACAAAUCACUUAAAAUAUGCAAUAACAAGCAUAAAAUAUAAGUACCUUCGUAACAGUGAACGUAAAACAUAAAAUAUGAAAUAUAGAAUAUCAAACAUGAAACUUGAACGUAAACAUGAAACGGGGGUAAAAAAGAAAAAUCUUGGGGUAUUUGAAAAAUCAGUACAUGAAACAUAAAACAUAAAAUAUGAAACUUAAAAUGUUAAACAUGAGAUAAAUUUCAUAGAAAAUGAAUAAAACUUUUGUCUUUUUGUUAACACAUAUUAUUUUAUUUUUAAAAUAUUUAUAAUAAAAAUUAUUUUUUCCAUUUUUACUUUACUUGUCCUUUCUACUUCUUAUUAUUAUUAUUCUACUUCUUGCCGAGGUGGUAUCAUUAAUAAUUUGAAUAAUCUUAUUUGAUCUCCUAGAAGAAGACCUCCUCAACCAUGGAAACAAAUACAACAUCAACUUCAUUUCCUUCAUCAACUUCAUCCCAUAUCUCUCUUUCUUCUACUCUAUCUCUUCCCAAAUCAUAUUCUAAGCACAUAGCCUCCAAAAUUGAGAAUCUUGUUGAAUAUUUCUAUAUUCCAGAAUCUGCUCAGAUCAAUGAGUCCCAGUUUCCCAUCAUGAGUCCUUACAAUCUCUACAGACAAAAAACUUCUUUCACUAGAAGUAUCCGAACUCUGAUUUCCACUAAAAGAUCAAUCCCAAAAGAAUACAUCCAGUCAUCAAGACUAGAUCAGUGUGCUUUACAAGCCUCUCAGAGUGAACAAUAUGUCACUAUGGAAAUACCCUCGGAUCUCGUCGCCAACUGGAAACGAGAAGGGUACACGCACCUCCAUCUUGGAGGUGUACGCUUAAUUCUCACUCUUCAUGGCAGAAAAGGCUUACCUGUCACAGGUAGAAUUUCUCUCCUAGACACUAGGUUCAAACAGUACCAACACGCUGUUGUAGGAACCGUUCUGACAACCCUUCAUGCUGACAGUGUCUUAUUAACCUUUUACCCAAAUUUCAACCUCUCUCUUGAAGACCCUAACCUUCCAACAACUCUAAAGGUCCAGAUCCAGCUCCAAGGAGCAGAACAAAUGCCCACAUCAAAGAUUGUAACUCUUCAUCACCAAAUAGUGUAUCGAUUACAAAAUCAUGCACUAGAUCUUCCCACACCAUAUACUACUUCUGAUGCCUUGAUGAUAUUAGCUUACACAGACACAAUUCCAACUAUCAUUCAAAUCCCCAAACAAAUCCAGAAACAAGAAUUGCUCAAACUCAUGCCUCUUGAAUGGCUAACCAACUAUGAGAACUUUCACCAAAAUUCUGAACCAAUACAAACCACAAAAGCCACAUUUGACAGACAACCAAAUGGUCAAGUCAAACUGUCUUUUCAAACCCCUGACACCAAGCCUGUUUCAGACAGUCCACAGCUUUCCUAUACUGCUAUGAUCACAGCAGUUCAAACUGGUCAAGAAAAGAAACUUCCUAUUCAUGGUUUUUCCUCCGAAGGGUAUCCAGUAUAUCCCGAUAAAAUCAAUGGUCAUUUCAUAUGGGAUGUUCCUGAAGCCCAUAUGUGCAAUCUAGAUUGUCCUUGCUUGGAUGAUACAGAUAUUGACGAGGAAUUGGAAGUUAUCCGGAGAAAGAAAAAGAAAAAGAAAAAAUCUUCUUAUCCACCAUCAUCUUGCAAAUCUUUUUCUCAACAACCUCCACUAGAUCCCAAACCUCUUGUCCAUCCAAUCAAAUCUUUUCCUCCACUUGAAAAACAGACAGACACACAAACCCGAGUUACAUCCAAAGCAAAGCACACCAAUAAAGACAUUUACAAAAGGAAAGCACGCCGACAAGGACUUUAACAAAAGGAAAGCAUACCGACAAGGACUUUAACAAAAGUAAAGCACACCGACAAGGACUUUAACAAACGUAAAGCACACCGACAAGGACUUUAAAGAAGAACCUGUAAAGGAAUUUCUUUGCAAAGUCCUGCAGCUGGUAAGCCGAUUGGAAAGAGAUGUUCAUGGGAAAGUUUCUCUGGGUGAGAGCUUUGAAAGGAAGUUGGCGAUUCAUAGCUAUGACUGGAAUGGUUUGGAUUGAGGAAAUGAGUGAGGGUUUAUUUAUAGCUGGACGUGUGAGGAAGUCUGGAAUGAGGUUUUGGUUGCCUUUUAUGUGUUGAACAGUGAAGUCAUACUUAGCAAACCAAGUUUUCAGAUUGAGCAGUUGCUUGUCAGGGAGCAACUUGUUUUUGAAGUUAAAGAUUCUGGGAAAAGAAGAAUUAUCCAUGUUGAUAAGAAAUGUGUGGCUGAUUAGAUGAAAUUCGAAUUUUUUAAUUCCAUACUUGACUGCCAAGAUUUCUUUGUAGAUCACAUGGUAGUUCUUUUCAGAGUCUUUGAAUUGUCCGCUUGCAUGUGCACAGAAAUGACGCACGCCAUUGAUUUCUUCGAGAAGAAUGGCACUCUAGUAAUCAUCGCUGGCAUCAGUCUGGAGGAUACGGUGUCCAUUUGUGGGAAUCCUGAGUGGAGGAGGGGAUUGUGUGAUCACCUUUAGCUGCUUGACAGCUUCUGUCUGAGCAGGGCCCCAUGGAGGGCACUUUUUUUUGUGCAUGCGUGACAGCUGGCUUGUGUGAAUUGCAACUUUUGGGAUAAAAUCACGGACAUAAUUAACAAUCCUAAGGAAUUGUUGGAUCUUCUUUCUGUUGAGAUGUGUGUCCGGAAACUUUAAUAAUUCAACUGCAAUGUGUGGACCAGGUUCUUAUUGGCCGUCUUUAAUCACCAUGCCAAGAAAGUCAAUUGAUUCCUUUCCUAUGCUGCUUUUCUUUUCGGAAAGCAUGAUGCCAUGUGCUGCACAAUGUGAAAGAAAUCCAAAAGGAGCUUCUGGUGGCUCUCAUGGUCAGUAGAAAACAAUAAAAUAUCAUCAAUGUAGACCAAUGCAUGAUGAAGAAUAGGACUAAAGAUUUUUGUCAUGGCUUUUUGAAAUUUGGAGGGAGCGACUUUAAGACCAAAAGGCAUAACAGUCCAUUGAUAAUGGGCAUCAGGGAUGCAGAAGGCAGUUUUGUGACGGUCAACUGGUGAAAUACCAAGUUGCCAAAAACCAGUUUUCAAAUCGAACUUAGAGAAGAUACGAGCCCCUUGAAGAUGGACAAACAAGGUCUGAAUUUUUGGAAGGGGAAACUUAUAAUCUUUAAGAAAAGAAUUAAGUGGCUGGUAAUCAAUAACUAAUCUCUUUUUUCCACGAACUAAUUCAGAUCGUUUUUCAACAUAAAAGGCUUGACAAGCCCAAUCUGAAUCAGUAGACUCAAUAAGGCCUUGUUGGAGUAACUGAGAGCAUUCUUGCUUGGCAAGCAGGAGGUCUGAAGGAGACAUACCCGGGUCUGAUGCUUUUGUGGGGUUUAUAUCUUCAUUGAGUUUGAAGGGAAGGUGAAUGAAGAAAUGUUCAUUUUUCCAAAGAGGUGAAGGAUGGUGAAACUGUGAAUGGUUUUCUGGACAGAACUCUAAGAACUUUUGUGAGAUAUGACUGUAUGGAGAUAGUGUUUCUGAAAGGGCAUACAGACGGAGAGUAUCUGUAUAGGGUAAGAACAUUUGUUUAUAGCGAACUCCAGAACUGGUGAGGAAGAGGUUUUUAACCAAAUGAAGAAUGUCAAAACCUAUGAGUAAAUCUUUGUUUGGAAGUUUGGAGGCUACAAUCUUUUUCCAAAUUAUACAAUUCGGAAAGAAUUGAAUACCAAUGGGUUUUUUGGUAAUCAAAGUUGUUUCAAAAGUUUCACCAUUAACUGCUCUGAAAAGUUUGGAAUGGGGUUCCCAACAGUCUAAUGGAAGAACAGAAGGAUCAAUCAUACUGGUGUCUGCACCGGUGUCUGCACCAGUGUCAAUAAACCCGAUAACAGGAACAUGCUUAUGAAAUUUAGAAGGAAAAAUGGACAUCUUGAGAGAAGGUCUAGGAAUGGUGGAAACAUUGUUGACACUGUAGAGAUGACGGAAAUAUCUUCAGAAUCAGAGGAUUCGGCUAUAAGGAAAGUAGUCUGGUCAUCUUGAGUUGACUGUUCUGAAAAUUUGAUUCGACAUCCUCAUUCUCAGAUAACAGAGAAGAAUGUUGAAGAUGUUGGAUAAGACGAACAGCUUUGGCAGAUUUAUGGGGACAAUUUCGGGCAAAGUGACCGCGUUUCUUGUAGACGAAACAACGGUUGGAUUUUUUCUUUCGAUACUGAGAAACAUCUUUCUUUUUGAAAUACCGAAAAGGUUUUUUGGAGGAUGAUUUCUUGUGGAAGUGUUUCUGGAAAUGUCGUUUCUUUGUGGUUGGACAAACACAUUUCUUUUCAUCCUUACACUCGAUUUUGAGAUAAGGUUUGUGACAAGCCUGAGAAAAGGAUUUUUUGUCUUCCAUGAGAUCUUUGAAGAAUUCUUUUUGCUCACAGAUUUUAUCAAGAGAUAGCAUGGCCAUUUGAAAAAUCUUUCCCAAAGAGAUAUUAGUUAUGCUCAGAUUAGUGGCUGUAAGUUUUCUUUUGAAGAUCUUGUUGUAAUUCAGAAGGAAGAGAGGCUAUGAAGACAUGUUUAAGAGAUGGCACAUUGAAUCCAUUCAGCUUGUAAAAUAGAAUACUCAUUCUUUUGUAAUGAGCAUCUAGAAGGUGUCUUUUGAGAGAACAGCACUUCAUCUGGUGAUAUUCUUUCCUAUCUGCAUCAGUGGAAGCAGUUUUUUCACCAAUGAAUUGUUCAUGAAUAAGAUUGAGGGCAGUUCCAAUUGGGGAUUCCAUGAAUUGGAUCUGUUGGUAUUCUCCUAAGCUUUCUAGCCAGUCUCGUAGAGAACCCAUGGAUUGGGCCAUAAAUUCACGAAGAACGGCUUGGGGUUGAGCAUUAGGUUUGGUACCUUGGAGAUCAAUCCAUGCAGUAAAUUCUUGGAGUUUGGCAGACCAUUUAUGAUGAGGAAUGUCAUCAAAUGUAAACCAAGAUGCUGAAGAUGGCUUUGUUGAGUGUUCAUGAACUGGUGGUGGCAUAGGGUCUGUUUGAGAUGCUUGAUCAGAAGGAUGAUCUUCAACAAUAGGUGUGGAAGUAGAAGCAUUUGGAUCUGCAGUUUCAGUGGCCAUUAAUAUGCCUGUAAUGUCAGCAUAUUCGGACUCAGAGUCAGUUGAGGUUUCGUCUGUGUUUUCGGAUGAGUUUGAAGAAGACGGGUUGGAUUCAUCGAUUGUUUCUAGCUCAGAUGAGUCAGAAGAUUGAUUCUGGAAAGUAUGAUAAUGAUACUGAUCCAUCGGGUCUUUGUCUUUCUGAAGAGGCUCAGGAAUGUCCUGUGGCAAAGCUUCUAGAGGUAUGGUGGAGGUAGAGGAAGAUGAAGGGACCUUUGGCUUUGGUUCUGAAAUCUUGACUUUGGAUUUUGAUUUUCUGGAUGAAGAUGGUUGAGGAGUCGGUUGAAGGUGCGAGAACCCAAAGAACUGAUUAUAAACAGGUUGUUGAGGUCUGGAUGGUGUGUAGAAAGGUGUAUAGGUUUCAAAGAACGGAGGAGAUACGGGUGUUGGCUAUGGUUGAGUAAAAAGAGAAGGUCGAGUCUUUUCAGCAUCAAUUCUUGACAAUUCGGCUUUGAGUUUUCUGAUCUCAGCUUCUUUUUUAUUGAACUCUAGACCCCAAAUGUGGUUGUUGAUCAUUCGUCGGAGAUCGGUGUCGAGUUCGGAGAUCCGAUCUUGGAGAUGUAUAUACAUCUGAUCAAGACGACUGCUGAUUGAAUCAACUUUAGUCUCAGUUUGAGAGACUUGACUGGCAACGCGAUCAAUUUUCUUACCGAGUUGCUGAAGAGUUUGAUUCUGAGCACUGGCAUUUUUGGUUUGCCAGUUUAAAACAACUUCAUACUUUUUUGGCUCCUCAGGUUGCCCAGAGGCUGUAACUGGAGAUUGAACAAAAGGUUUGGAUGUAACUCAGGUUUGUGUGUCUGUCUGUUUUUCAAGCGGAGGAAAAGAUUCCUCAUAGGAGUGGCUUGAAAACAUAAGGCAUGAUUUGAUUGGAUGGACAUGAGGUUUGGGAUCUAGUGGAGGUUGUUGAGAAAAAGAUUUGCAAGAUGAUGAUGGAUAAGAAGAUUUUUUCUUUUUCUUUCUCCAGAUAACUUCCAAUUCCUCGUCAAUAUCCGUAUCAUCCAAGCAAGGACAAUCUGGAUUGCACAUAUGGGCUUCAGGAACAUCCCAUAUGAAAUGACCAUUGAUUUUAUCGGGAUAUACUGGAUACCCUUCGGAGGAAAAACCAUGAAUAGGAAGUUUCUUUUCUUGACCAGUUUGAACUGCUGUAAUCAUAGCAGUAUAGGAAAGUUGUGGACUGUCUGAAACAGGCUUGGUGUCAGGGGUUUGAAAAGACAGUUUGACUUGACCAUUUGGUCCUCUGUCAAAUGUGGCUUUUGUGGUUUGUAUUGGUUCAGAAUUUUGGUGAAAGUGCUCAUAAUUGGUUAGCCAUUCAAGAGGCAUGAGUUUGAGCAAUUCUUGUUUCUGGAUUUGUUUGGGGAUUUGAAUGAUAGUUGGAAUUGUGUCUGUGUCAGCUAAUAUCAUCAAGGCAUCAGAAGUAGUAUAUGGUGUGGGAAGAUCUAGUGCAUGAUUUUGUAAUCGAUACACUAUUUGGUGAUGAAGAGUUGCAAUCUUUGAUGUGGGCGUUUGUUCUGCUCCUUGGAGCUGGAUCUGGACCUUUAGAGUUGUUGGAAGGUUAGGGUCUUCAAGAGUGGUAGUGUCGUUAAGGUGCACCAAAUUUAAAACCUUAUCACUAAUAUAAAUAAUUAGUACAGAGCGAGUAAGGAUCGAUCCCACAAAGACUAUGUAGUUAUAUUUAUUAUCAACUCUAAAGCAAGAUUUAAAAUAAAAUAAUAGUAGUAAUAAUAAUAGUAAUAUUAAUAUAAAUUAAUCUAACUAAAGAAAAUGCCAAUUAUAAAUAAAAAGGGGGUUUAUGAAUUUUUAACUAAAUAGUAAGAAGUAAAGAAAUUAAAACUACGAACAAGAAUUUAAUAAAAACUCUAAUUAAAGGAGAAAGAAAUAAUAAUGAUGAAAACUUUGGUUAAAGGAUCAUUCACCACCACCAAACAUGCACAUAAUAUAUCAAUUCUAUCAUCAAUUUAUAUUAAAACUAUCAACCGUAGACAACAAUAAGCUCUGUUAGUCUCAAUCUUUCCUUAGUGUGUCGUUAGGCAAAAUAAGCUCUUCACCUAAUCUCUAACCAUUAAAUAAUUUAAAAUAAGCUCUUUAAAUUUAAGAUAAUGGAAGCAUUAAACAAAUAAAUAUAUUAGGUUGAUCUAGGCAAUAAACACACAAGCUCGGAUUAUUUAACCUAGGUUAUAUUCUCCAAUUGAAAUCAUUGAUUCCAACCUGCUACUAAUGAUUAAAAUAUCAAGACAAUUACGGAUCAAGAAUUUUAAUCUAGCAAUAAAAUUUAUUCAAGUCCUAUCUAAUUGGCCACUCAAAUAAAACAAGAAUAAACCAUGAACAUUAAUUAUAGAAGAACAUAAACAAUCUCAAUUAAAUAAAUUGAAUGGUAGAAUUUAAAUUUAAUUGCAUAGCAUGUUUAGGGUUUUGAAUUCACCCUCGACCAAAUAAAAAUUUAGCCUAACAUAAUUGAAUUGGGAAUAAGAAAAUUGAUAAAACCAGUCAUGGAAAUUAAUUCAAGCGGCUGCCUUUUUCUUCAAUUGAAUUACGGCUGCUGAUUUUUUUCUUUUUCUUGGCGAAUUGGAUCAGCCCCUGCUCUCUCUCCUCUCUUGUUGCCCCAAAUUCUUCUUUUUUUUUAUUGCUUCCGCUUGAUCCUAUUUAUAAUGCUUCAAUUGUGGCUUUGUUUAAAUCCUUGCCUGGAGAGAAUUAAAUUCCAAGCUCAAAACCGCCACCUCAUGCUUGAAUUAAUAAGCCAAUAAUGAUUUCCUAAAGCCAAAAGGCUUUAUUCUCUUUCCUUUCACGUGGCCACUUUUGGUUUGCAAUCUUUGUUUUCCAAUUUUGCUUUCAAGUGAUGGCUUGGCUUCCUUUUUGACUUCCAUUUUCUAAUUUUAGCUCCAUGUGCAACAUUAAUUUUGCUUGGCCCAUACAAGCUUUAAUUAAAUUUAUUUUCUAAUUCUUUCCAAUUAUUGGUCUCUUGUGCACUUUUGCCUCUCAAUCUUCAAUCAAAUUUAUUUCCUGAAUGCUCCGAUUUAAUUUCUCUUUAAUUCCAGAAUAUACCUAAAAUAACAAAAUAAAUAAAACUAAGAUAAAAAUUAACACAAUAAAAUAUAAUUUACUAAAUUAAAAAUUAACUAAAAUAACUAAAAUAUUUAAGACCAAAACAAGAAAAAGAUAGAGAAAUUAAUAGCAAAAUAUAUGGAAAAUAUACACUUAUCAAAGAGAGAGGUUGAAAUUUGGGUAAAAGGUUAAUAAGACAUUGCCAGCAUGAAGGAUUGUCAGAACGGUUCCUACAACAGCGUGUUGGUACUGUUUGAACCUAGUGUCUAGGAGAGAAAUUCUACCUGUGACAGGUAAGCCUUUUCUGCCAUGAAGAGUGAGAAUUAAGCGUACACCUCCAAGAUGGAGGUGCGUGUACCCUUCUUGUUUCUAGUUGGCGACGAGAUCCGAGGGUAUUUCCAUUGUGACAUUGUUCACUCUGAGAGGCUUGUAAAGCACACUGAUCUAGUCUUGAUGACUGGAUGUAUUCUUUUGGGAUUGGUCUUUUAGUGGAAAUCAGAGUUCGGAUACUUCUAGUGAAAGAAGUUUUCUGUCUGUAGAGAUUGUAAGGACUCAUGAUGGGAAACUGAGACUCAUUGAUCUGAGCAGAUUCUGGAAUAUAGGAAUAUUCAACAAGAUUCUCAAUUUUGGAGGCUAUGUGCUUAGAACAUGAUUUGGGAAGAGAUAGAGUAGAAGAAAGAGAGAUAUGGGAUGAAGAUGAUGAAGGAAAUGAAGUUGAUGUUGUAUUUGUUUCCAUGGUUGAGGAGGUCUUCUUCUAGGAGAUCAAAUAAGAUUAUUCAAAUUACUAAUGAUACCACCUCGACAAGAAGUGUGGCUCUGAUACCAGUGGGUAGUUGUACGUGGUGUUGUUACACUAGUCCUAAGAACAGACUUCGUUCUGUUAUAGAUCUGCAAAUCCAAGUGCUUCUACUUCCACAUCUAUUGUUGAAGAUCAUCCUUCUGAUCAAGAAUCUCAAACAGACCCUAUGCCACCACCAGUUCAUGAACACUCAACAAAGCCAUCUUCAGCAUCUUGGUUUCCAUUUGAUGACAUUCCUUUUCACAAAUGGUCUGCCAAACUCCAAGAAUUUGCUGCAUGGAUUGAUCUCCAAGGUACCAAACCUAAUGCUCAACCCCAAGCCGUUCUUCGUGAAUUCAUGGCCCGAUCCACGGGUUCUCUACGAGACUGGCUAGAAAGCUUAGGAGAAUACCGACAGAUCCAAUUCAUGGAAUCCCCAAUUGGAACUGCCCUCAAUCUUAUUCAUGAACAAUUCAUUGGUGAAAAAACAGCUUCCACUGAUGCAGACAGGAAAGAAUAUCACCAGAUGAAGUGUUGUUCUCUCAAAAGAUACCUUCUAGAUGCUCAUUACAAAAGAAUGAGUAUUCUAUUUUACAAGCUGAAUGGAUUCAAUGAGCCAUCUCUUAAACAUGUCUUCAUAGCCUCUCUUCCUUCUGAAUUACAACCAGAUCUUCAAAGCAAACUUACAGCCACUAAUCUGAGCAUAGCUGAUAUCUUUUUGGGAAAGAUUUGUCAAAUGACCAUGCUAUCUCUUGAUAAAAUCUGUGAGCAAAAAGAAUUCUUCAAAGAUCUCAUGGAAGACAAAAAAUCCUUUUCUCAUGGAAAUCUGUAAGGGUGAAAAGAAAUGUGUUUGUCCAACCACAAAGAAACGGCAUUUCCAGAAACACUUCCACAAGAAAUCAUCCUCCAAAAAACCUUUUCGGUAUUUCAAAAAGAAAGAUGUUUCUCAGUACCGAAAGAAAAAAUCCAACCGUUGUUUCGUCUGCAAGAAACGCGGUCACUUUGCCCGAAAUUGUCCCCAAAAACUGCCAAAGUUGUUCGUCUUAUCCAACAUCUUCAACAUUCUUCUCUGUUAUCUGAGAAUGAGGAUGUCGAAUCAAAUUUUUCAGAACAGUAAGCUCAAGAUGACCAGACUGCUUUCCUUAUAGCCGAAUCCUCUGAUUCUGAAGAUAUUUCCGUCAUCUCUACAGUUCAAACUAUCAACCAUGUUUCCACCAUUCCUAGACCUUCUCUCAAGAUGUCCAUUCUUCCUUCUAAAUUUCAUAAACUUGUUCCUGUUAUCGGGUUUAUUGACACUGGUGCAGACACUAGUAUGAUUGAUCCUUGUGUUCUUCCAUCAGACUGUUGGGAACCCUAUUCCAAACUUUUCAGAGCAGUUAAUGGUGAAACUUUUGAAACAACUUUGAUUACCAAAAAACCCAUUGGUAUUCAAUUCUUUCCGAAUUGUAUAAUUUGGAAAAAGAUUGUAGCCUCCAAACUUCCAGAUAAAGAUUUACUCAUAGGUUUUAACAUUCUUCAUUUGGUUAAAAACCUCUUCCUCACCAGUUCUGGAGUUCGCUACAAACAAAUGUUCUUACCCUAUACAGAUACUCUCCGUCUGUAUGCCCUUUUAGAAACACCAUCUCCAUACAGUCAUAUCUCACAAAAGUUCUUAGAGUUCUGUCCAGAAAACCAUUCACAGUUCCACCAUCCUUCGCCUCUUUGGAAAAAUGAACAUUUCUUCAUUCACCUUCCCUUCAAACUCAAUGAAGACAUAAACCCCACAAAAGCAUCACACCCGGGUAUGUCUCCUUCAGACCUCCUGCUUGCCAAGCAAGAAUGCUCUCAGUUACUCCAACAAGGCCUUAUUGAGUCUAUUGAUUCAGAUUGGGCUUGUCAAGCCUUUUAUGUUGAAAAACGAUCUGAAUUAGUUCGUGGAAAAAAGAGAUUAGUUCUUGAUUACCAACCACUUAAUUCUUUUCUUAAAGAUGAUAAGUUUCCCCUUCCAAAAAUUCAAACCUUGUUUGUCCAUCUUCAAGGGGCUCAUAUCUUCUCUAAGUUCGAUUUGAAAGCUGGUUUUUGGCAACUUGGUAUUUCACCAGUUGACCGUCACAAAACUGCCUUCUGCAUCCCUGAUGCCCAUUAUCAAUGGACUGUUAUGCCUUUUGGUCUUAAAGUCGCUCCCUCCUUAUUUCAAAAAGCCAUGACAAAAAUCUUUAGUCCUAUUCUUCAUCAUGCAUUGGUCUACAUUGAUGAUAUUUUAUUAUUUUCUACUGACCAUGAGAGCCACCAGAAGCUCCUUUUGGAUUUCUUUCACAUUGUGCAGGCACAUGGCAUCAUGCUUUCCGAAAAGAAAAGCAGCAUAGGAAAGGAAUCAAUUGACUUUCUUGGCAUGGUGAUUAAAGACGGCCAAUAUAAACCUGGUCCACACAUUGCAGUUGAAUUAUUAAAGUUUCUGGACACACAUCUCAACAGAAAGACGAUCUAAUAAUUCCUUGGGAUUGUAAUUAUGUCCGUGAUUUUAUCCCAAAAGUUACAAUUCACACAAGCCAGCUGUCACGCAUGCUCAAAAAAAAGUGCCCUCUAUGGGGCCCUGCUAAGACAGAAGCUUUCAAGCAGCUAAAGGUGAUCGCACAAUCCCCUCCUCCACUCAGGAUUCCCACAAAUAGACACCGUAUCCUCAAGACUGAUGCCAGCGAUGAUUACUAGAGUGCCAUUCUUCUCGAAGAAAUCAAUGGCGUGCGUCAUUUCUGUGCACAUGCAAGCGGAUAAUUCAAAGACUCUGAAAAGAACUACCAUGUGAUCUACAAAGAAAUCUUGGCAGUCAAGUAUGGAAUUAAAAAAUUUGAAUUUCAUCUAAUCAGCCACACAUUUCUUAUCAACAUGGAUAAUUCUUCUUUUCCCAGAAUCUUUAACUUCAAAAACAAGUUGCUCCCUGACAAGCAACUGCUCAAUCUCAAAACCUGGUUUGCUAAGUAUGACUUCACUGUUCAACACAUAAAAGGCAACCAAAACCUCAUUCCAGACUUCCUCACACGUCCAGCUAUAAAUAAACCCUCACUCAUUUCCUCAAUCCAAACCAUUCCAGUCAUAGCUAUGAAUUGCCAACUUCUUUUCAAAGCUCUCACCCAGAGAAACUUUCCCAUGAACAUCUCUUUCCAAUCGGCUUACUAGCUGCAGGACUUUGCAAAGAAAUUCCUUUACAGGUUCUUCUUUAAUGUUCAAACCAAAAAACCCGACCGUUUUCCUAAUCUUUGCAUGGAACACCUGUUUCUCACAGGCCUCACUCUCUCCUCUCUGUCCAUCUGUGACGAUGAACUUUGGUACAUGUGGUGUCUCACCGCCUGUAUGCUACAAAGUUGGUUCUUCCCAUCAAACCAGUCCUAACUCACCUUACCACUCCUGAGUUCUCACCAGACCUCCUAUGGACUCUCCUUGAAUGGUAUUCCCCACUCACUUGGUGACGUAAACAACUCCAACAGUUGACUACUUUUCAUGGAUUAGACAAAAUGCCAGAACAAGAAGCUAACAUGUGGACUACAGUCUUCAUUUUCCACAGGCCUUACUUCCAGCACCCAGAAACGCGGGACUACUGGACACAAGACAUGGCAUACGAAUGGAGAACUUAUUCUCAUCCAUAUACCCUCAUUCAUGACACAUCUGUCACUUCUGCUCUCAAAGCCUACCUUAUGGAACUAAACAAUGUUCCUUCCCCAACCACAGACAUUCACCACACCUCUAUUGGACCAUCACACACCCUUGAAAUUAUUCCCAAAACACAAGGCUGUACUCCAGGUUCAAGUUCAAGCCCUCAAGGUAUCCUUGUCAUGGAAAACGUCCUGACUACACCAAUGUCUUAUUCCAAGAUGCUCAGGAUCCUUGGGAAGACUUUCAGUCCCUUCUCCAUACUGAAAAUCCCCGUUAUACUGUCACCACUCCAGACUCUCCUGCUGCAUCUACAUCUCAGCACAUGACUGAAGCUGAUGAAGAAAACUACCAGCAAGCUGAGGUAUACCUCGACCACAAUGUUCCUUCCCCAACCACAGACAUUCACCACACCUCUAUUGGACCAUCACACACCCUUGAAAUUAUUCCCAAAACACAAGGCUGUACUCCAAUAGAAGGAAGAAUGGACAUCUUGAGAGAAGGUCUAGGAAGGGUGGAAACAUGGUUGACAAUUUGAACUGUAGAGAUGACAGAAAUAUCUUCAGAAUCAGAGGAUUUGGCUAUAAGGAAAGUAGUCUGGUCAUCUUGAGCUGACUAUUCUGAAAAUUUUGAUUCGACAUCCUCAUUCUCAGAUAACAGAGAAGAAUGUUGAAGAUGUUGGAUAAGACGAACAGCUUUGGUAGAUUUAUGGGGACAAUUUCGGGCAAAGUGACCGCGUUUAUCUUCAAGGGGCUCGUAUCUUCUCUAAGUUCAAUUUGAAAGCUGGUUUUUGGCAACUUGGUAUUUCACCAGUUGACCGUCACAAAACUGCCUUCUGCAUCCCUGAUGCCCAUUAUCAAUGGACUAUUAUGCCUUUUGGUCUUAAAGUCGCUCCCUCCUUAUUUCAAAAAGCCAUGACAAAAAUCUUUAGUCAUAUUCUUCAUCAUGCAUUGGUCUACAUUGAUGAUAUUUUGUUGUUUUCUACUGACCAUGAGAGCCACCAGAAGCUCCUUUUGGAUUUCUUUCACAUUGUGCAGGCACAUGGCAUCAUGCUUUUUGAAAAGAAAAGCAGCAUAGGAAAGGAAUCAAUUGACUUUCUUGGCAUGGUGAUUAAAGACGGCCAAUAUGAACCUGGUCCACACAUUGCAGUUGAAUUAUUAAAGUUUCCGGACACACAUCUCAACAGAAAGUAGAUCCAACAAUUCCUCGGGAUAUGGCAUCAUGCUUUCCGAAAAGAAAAGCAGCAUAGGAAAGGAAUCAAUUGACUUUCUUGGCAUGGUGAUUAAAGACGGCCAAUAUGAACCUGGUCCACACAUUGCAGUUGAAUUAUUAAAGUUUCCGGACACACAUCUUAACAGAAAGUAGAUCCAACAAUUCCUCGGGAUUGUUAAUUAUGUCCGUGAUUUUAUCCAAAAAGUUGCAAUUCACACAAGCCAGUUGUCACGCAUGCUCAAAAAACAGUGCCCUCCAUGGGGCCCUGCUCAGACAGAAGCUGUCAAGCAGCUAAAGGUGAUCGCACAAUCCCCUCAUCCACUCAGGAUUCCCACAAAUGGACACCGCAUCCUCCAGACUGAUGCCAGCGAUGAUUACUGGAGUGCCAUUCUAUUUUUUAUUUUAAUUUAUUUAAAUAAAAAAAUACAUAUUAAUGGCAGCAACCGGCUGGAAAACUGGUUGCUGCCAGUCAUUAAAGUUAAAUUGACCCCCUCUAUGAUACAGGGACUCAAAGUCCUUGUAUCACAGCCGUGUCCCAAUUUUGAAGCCAUAAAAUAGAGAAGGAAAAGAUGAUUUGAAGUUUGUGCACUUCUCUUGCACAUCAUACGAGAAGAAGGAGAGAGACAAAAAUUAGGAAAAUGUCCUUGAAUCACUUUUCCAUAAUAUAAUUUUCCUCAUGCCAAGCCCAACAAGAAGACUAGAAUUUAGGGGGGAUGCUAGCGUUCCAAAUCAUUUUGAAGGGUAAAAACUCUCUAGUAGAAUUAUCGUUGCACAAUUUCUCAAAAUAUGAUUUGCAAGUAUACUGUGGUGAGGUUUCCAGCUUCCAUAUCCUUUUGUCUUCCUCCAAUCCAUCAAUAUUGAUAAUUUCAGUUCUUGACAUAAGCAUUGCAACUUCUUCAACCUCUCUAUCAUUCAAAUUUCUUUCAAAAUUAAACUUCGAGUUCCAAAAUUUCUUUCACAUAACAAAAUAUCACCCCUCCGUUUAUCCUCCCAAAAACUAAUAGCCUUCCCAUUAUACACUUCUAAUGCAACAAAACUAAGACAAGUGGGAUACUCUUUAGAUAUAGCUUUCCGAGGGCUUUUAUUGGACCCAUUCCUAACCAUGUUUUCAUCCCAUCCAUUUGGAUGAAUUCCAUCCUUGCAGCGAAUUACUGAGUGACAAAGAGAGGUCUCCAAGGGAAACCUCCAAAGCCAUUUUGCUAAGAGAGAUCUAUUUUUCUUUUCCACAUUACUAAUUCCUGGACCACUUCUGGUUUUUGGCCUUGCAACGUUAUCCCAUUUUCAUAAGAUAAGAUCCAUUGCCAUUUCCAUAUCCUUCCCAGAGACUGUCUCUCUCCAUUUUCUCAACUCUUUUCGCGAGAGAAAAUAAAUAGGAAUGGCUGACAGUAUGGAGUGGUUUAGAGUGAAUCUUCCACUUUUGGAAAGAUAGGCUUUUUUCCAAUCCUCCAAGUCUCUUUUCAAUUUUUUUAGCCACCGGGUUCCAAAAACUUUGGAGUUAUAGGAUUAUCACCCAAAGGAACCCUAGAUACUUCAAAGGCCAACUUGCCACUCUAAGCACAAAAUUAUUUGCUAAGAUUUUGACUUUCUCCAUGAGUUGAUUGCCACUAUUAUACUUUUGGCCAUGUUAACUUUGAGGCUGGAAAUCAAACCGAAGCUGUCCACAACUUUUAAAAGUUUUGCAAUUUUUUGUUCAUCACCCAUUGAAAAGAAAAGAGUAGCAUCUGCAAAUUGAAGACGAGAGACCUCAACCGUGGCUUUAUCAAUUGAUAUGCCCUUAACUAACCUGGCUUCAGCAGCUCUAAUCAUCAAUUUGUUAAAGCCAUCAACUACCAAAAGAAAUGGAAAGAGAGGAUCUCCUUGUCUGAUUCCUCUAGAAGCACAAAACUCUUCUGUAGACCUUUCAUUUAUGAAGACUCAAAAGUUUACUGAUUGUAGGCAACCCUUUAUCCAUUGUCUCAAUUUGCAUCCAAAUCCUUUUGCUUGAAAAACAAGAUCAAGAUCAACAGAAUUCCAAUCUAAGUGGUCAUAAGUUUUAUCGAAAGUGAUAAUCAUCAUUGUCUAUUUGGUUUAGGGAAAAAGACAAUUGAACCCCAAAGUUUAGAAAAAAGGACGAAAAUCCCAAGCCUUAUCCAUUUGGAUGGAAUAUUCUCUUUUACCGUUUAAAUAACGUAUCUACCUUUUUGGCUUAAGGGAAAAGCACACCUGAAUCCUCAACUUUUAGGGAAAGGGACAAACACCCAAAAGCUUAAAAAAAAACUAACAAAUUCUACUCUUACCUUACUUUGGCCUAUGUAACUUGGACCUUACUUGGAUUCCCUCGUACCUUCCGCAACACCCCUCUUGUCGUUCUUAAAAGUUCAUAGGGGGUGCAAGCAUCCUUUUCCUUUUUAUUGUGAUCAAAAGGGUAAAUGUGUUAUUUCAAUAGUGCAAAGUAAUGUUCCAUCCAAAUGAACGAAAUUUUCUUACAAAUGGGAGUCUACAGUAUCCUUUUAAACAUUAUUGGUAUUUUUAUGUCCUUUUCCUAAUGUUGGGGGUCUGUGUGUCUUUUUUUCUUUAGUUAGUAUACAGUAAAGAUAAAGUGAAAGUUUGAUUUAAGCAUCCUUUACAAUUUUGAAGAAGAAAGAGAUGGAAAAAAUGAUAAACUCGCAAGUAUGAGAAGAACAAUAUUAGAGAAAGAUGGAGCAAAGUGGUUAAGGUCUAGUAUUUUAAGUACCUAUGUAUCUAAAUGUGAGAACAUAAAUUUUGAUUACUUUGCUGUCAUUAAAUGAAUAUCUGAAUGUACAAAAGAUAGUCCGUUGUAGGUAUCUAAGAGAUUCAUGUAAAUUCCAUUGCAUUAUAGGAAUGGUGAUGAUCUUAAGAGUCAGUUGUUGACUCUGUUUUUCCUUUCAUGCUUAUUUUUUGCAGGUGACUUAUAAAGAGGAGCAUAUUUCGUUCUUGCACUUCAUGAAAAAUGUUUGUGCUUUAAUUGGAGGUAAUAUUAAACCCACUUAUUGUGAAAACAAAAAAAUCAUUCUUCCUCUUUUCGCAUUUAGGUUUAAUAGAAUUCCCAUGAGUAGGUAAUACAUGACAAAUGUAUUAUAUUCAGAAUAAUUUCCAUUCCUCAGAUGUGCUAUUUCAAUCUAAUGGUACCUAGCCAGCUAUAUAUCAUUAAAUUGACAUUACAAUGUGUCUAGCCAUGUUGCAUUCCUGAAACAAGCAAGCUGAACUUUGUUUUUCAACUGUUUUUAAAAGCUUUAUCCACCUGCCUUCUAGUCAUUUUGAUGCGAACCCCACAACGAAACUUUGAAACCCACACUUAAUUUAUAAUUUCAACUUCCCAAGAAAGUUCUAAACGAUUUAAGCAAAACAAAAGUCUUGACCCAAUGUUUAAGUAAACAUGAACUAAAGGUAUAGAGAAGGACAUGGACGCCACACUUAAGAUUUAGAUGAGAAGGUGAGUGAUAAGUCUAUUUUGGAACGCCACAAGAAUGUAAAUUCUUGAUAAGUUCAUUAGUUCUCAAAAGAACCAAAGAAAGAAUAAUCUUUCAAAUUCAAAAUAACAUUCAUCUCUAAUUAUCUUACAUAGCAAGGUUGCUGAGUUUAAAUAGACUAAUAGAAACCCAAGACCCUAAAAAUACAAAUGAAAACAUUGUAACAACCCUCCAAGUAUAGGUUUGUCAAAGAAUGUUUCAAAAGUCUUCACCAAUCCACCAUUAAUAAUGCUAGUCAUUGACAAACUUAAUGCUAUCCUACCAUAAUUAAUGCUAUCAUUGAAAAACAAUGUUAGCCCACCAUCAUUGAUGGUAGACUUACCUUACACAUUGACAAACUUGAAACAAAACAAACGAAUGAAGUUGAAUAAACAAAAGAGUCGUUGGAAAUCCCAAGUCUGAACAAGCUGUAAUAAAUUGGUCAUAACGCUUUCUAGAGAACUUCAAAUCUAGCUCUAUAAAUUGCAUUAGAAAUUUAACUUAAUUAUCUUUCCAACGGUAUAUAGCUUGCACAUUACAUUUGGCUCAAUCAAUACCAGUUAUAUUCUGAAUUUUCCUUUUGUGCAUUUGAUCCAAAUUGUGUAUUCGGCUGCCCAAUAGCUUGAAUAAUGCCCACAAUGGCUUGUCUUCUCUCCAAGCCCAAUUCAUGAUAUCUUGCAUCUUGAAUUGCAUUUUCAAUCCAUAUUUUCUCAAUUAAUCCAUUUAAAGCAACUUGCAUCUUUUUGGCUCUAGCUCUUGUCAUUAGACCUCCAUGAUUGUGCAAAGGAUCAAUUGAAGCUUUAACAGUAUUUUCUUGAUGGUUCUCCUUACAUUCCUUUCUAUUAUAAAUUAUACUUUUCCCAUGAUUCCCAUAAAGGUACUAGGAUUUAUAGUCAAUUGAAUAAUCAGGAGACUAUAGCAAUCUCAAUUGAUAAGUUUUGAUUAGUGCAAUGAUUCUGCUUACUUUUAGAAACCCCAAAACUUCAACAUGCUCCAAAUGGGUGUAAACGCCUUGGUUCUGAGUUUUGCAUUUAUGAUGCAUGUUGAGUGACAACUUCCGAACCAAGCCAGUAAUUGCAAGGAUGACUUAGUUCCCUUGUGAAUUGCAAUUAUCAAAUUGAUAAUCAUGCUGAGCAAGAAGAUUAUUAGUGUCGGCAUUUUGAUAAUGAUCAAUGGUAUUCGUCAUAGGUGGUGGUUUUUGAGUUUCCAUGUCUGAAACACAGCAUUGUCUGUAAUGUCUGAGAGAGCACAUUUGAAUUUUAUUUUGCGAUUUUACAAACUGUAUAUCUCACAAUUUGUUGUCUCUACUAAUGGUUUUGCCGUUGGGGCUUGAAAUCUAUUACAUCUCACAAUUCGUGUUCUCUACUAUUCGUUUUAAUUUUGGGACUUGAAAACACUACUAUGAGCAAAACUUACUUUUUACACCAAGAAUAUGUCUUAACAUCAAGCUGGGUCACAUCACGUCACAAAAUGAGUGGUUCUGGGUCUGGUGUGGAUUUAUUGCAAAAUCAACCCCCUUAGAAUUUCUAAUUUUGCUCACUUAUCACGGAGGUAAUGACUCAUAGACCAAAGGAAUUAGUUUUAAAUCCUUUAGCUAUCACUUUUUCUUUGAUAGGACAUAAGAUUUAAAAUUAUUUGCAAAACCAAUGGUUACUCUAAGAUUGGUAUGAUUUUAGCUUCAAUUAUUUUCUAUUUACAGUGAUUGCAGUAUACCAUAAUACAAACAUAUAGCUCACAUUUUGCACUUAUAUUUUGAUUUUGAGAACCUUUUUUUCUUCUUGGUUAUAGUAUUUUUAACUUUUGUUAGAGAUAAAAAUCGGAUACUUUUUACCUUUUCUUGUCUCUUCAGGUACUUUUGCAGUUGCGGGAAUAAUAGAUUCAUUCAUAUAUCAUGGUCAAAGAACACUCAAGAAGAAGAUGGAAAUCGGCAAAUUCGAAUGAUAAUUUUGAUUUUUGAAGUGCUGCUUAUAAUGCUAAAAAAUCCAGUUGAUUCUUUAAAUUGACAACAUUCUAAAAAGGGAGCCACCUCCACUGCAUAGUCUCUCUUACUCAUUUUUUUUUGUAUUUUUGUAACAUUAUUCACUGAAUAUUUCUACAUUUAAUGAAUCUGAACUGUGAUCUACUCUCAACGUUUUUAUAAUUUGAGGAAAUUAGAUAAACAAAACACAUUGCGGGCCUAGCUUUUUUUUUUUUCUCUUGGGUAUGAAAAUACAAAUGAAUAAAUUAUUUGAACUAAGAACAAUGAGCGAACAUGACAUGUUCACUCAUUGUUCUUAAUUCAUUGUAGAUGAUUUGUAUACUUGGUUAUUUGGAUUAGUUGUAACUUCCCUAGUUAUCACUAAUAUUUGCACAAGUGCCCCAUGAUGUAUACAUGGGUUUUGAUCAAGUGAGCAGUGGCGCACACAAUUUUCCAAAUGAAAGUUACUCAUGUGGGUCGCUGCUCGUCAUAAGGUAGGGAUGGUAGUGGUACCAACCACUACGAGUUUGUCAUUAUUAAAUCCGUACUCACAAAAAAUUUAAAUUACAAAAUUCAUAUGAAAACUACUAUUGGUUUCUAUGUUUUUUUUUUAAAAAAAAAGUUUGCUCGUUGUGCAUUUUAAAUUUAUCAAAUCUAUGUGCAACUCGCAGAGGGUUUUUUGUGGGUUUUCACAUGUAAAAUCAUAAAUAUUAAAAAAAGUACUUUCAAUGAUAUAUAAAAAUUUAAAUUGUAUAAUUUAAACUAUAAAUUUACAAAAGUAGCCUAAAAGAUUCAUAUAAAAAUACUUAGUUAUAGAAUUUAUCAAUGUAAAUGAGAAAUUAAAGGUUAAAAUUUAAAGCAAAUACACAAAAUAUAUCAAUCUAAUAUAAAAUGAUUAUGUUUUAGACAAAUCAUCAUCACUAAGUAUUAAUGUCUUGCUCCAUCUAUUAAUCAAUAUCCAAGUUGUAAAUAAUAUUGACAAGUAAAUUUUGGACAACUACCAUUAACAUUUAAUUAAACAAAUAAAAAUCCAAUUAUAGUAAACAAUCAUUAGGUUCAAAUCAUUAAAGCAAAAGUGCAAGACAAACAAAUUAAUCAAAUAAAAUAAAAUAUCAAGAAUAUUAAAAUUGAAAAUAAUUAUAAAAUUUCUACUUUUAAAAAACUUAUUGACAAGUUUUUCUCUAGUGAGGACAUCCUUAUUUUGUUAAAGUGAAGAUAUCCUCAUUAGAGAAUGCAGGUUGGUGGAUACUGGUGCGUGUAUCUACCAGAUUUUUUUCUUAAUACCAAACUUGCCUGCAACCUAUAAAAUUACUUGCAAUGAAUAGGUUUUUGCGAGUGGGUUUGUGCGUGUUCACAAAUAAUUUUGCUUCGUUACCAUAAGGUGAGCAACGAUGCUCACUUGAUAAGUUUUCUGUAUAUAAAUUAUACAUUGUCAUGUUUAUAAAGAUACCACCCAUGUUUACCAUCUUGUUUUAGAAUUUUCGAUCAUUUUUUUACAAUGUGGUAAAAUUUUGAUAAAUCAAUACUCAAUAAAAUGAUAUCUCGAUUAAAUAAUAUGUUUUUCCAUUCUUGACUUGAAGCCAAAUGUUCUAAAAUAUUAUUUUGAUUAAUUGAUAUUCUAUAAAUUAGUAUAUUUUUCUUGAUCUCAAGGGUAUUAAUUUAUCAAAAUUGGUUAUUACUUUUAUCUCAUUCUCUCUCACAUAGUUGUGCAUACAAGAAAAUUUUCACUUUUUUUUUUUUUGGGGUUAAGCAUCAAUUCACCUCCAUUAACUCCAAAGAAGACUUCAAAAUACACACACACACACAUAUAUACAGACACAUGCUCCAUUUGCCCUCAUUUUCGUAUUGUCAUUUUAUCUAAGGGAUGAAUUGAAAGUUACCCUUUAUGUUUUAAUUGUUUGAGCUUGAUACUUCGUUUUUCUCAUAGAUUGAUUUACAAGAUAUUUCUCUCCGAAGUUGAUUUAUUCUCUCCAAAGUUGGUUUAAUGCUAUGGUUUGACAUAAUGCAUUUCACAAAAUUUUCAUUGUUUUCUUUAAUGAUUCUUUCAAUCACAAUUCUAAGACUCUUUCUGUUUCGACAACAAUGACAUAACGAGCUUUUUCAGUUAUAAAACUUAUUAAGACACUAGUUCAAAAUAAGAUAGAGUAACAAUUUCAUUGUUUAUAUUGCUUCUUUGGUUUUGGGCUUUUAUAUUGUCUUCUUUACUUCUGUCCUUUAGUGAAAAAUAUAUAUUUGUGGUGCAUUUACUAAAUAAGAAUCGGAAUAUAUUGGAAUCGCAAUGAAUACAUUACCACUAAUAUGUUUACUCUGUCUUGAAAAUCAAAAUCGAAAUGAGUUAUAUUGUUACAAAUUAUUAAAAAAUUCUUGAUUAACUAUUAUCCUAAUUAUUAAUUAUUAUCCUAAGUAUUAUUGUUAAAAAAUAAUAAUAAUUAUUAUUAUUAUUAACAUUAAUAUAUAAAUUAAUUAUAAUACUUUUUAUCAGUAAUAAUAAUAAUAGUAAUAAUAACAGUAAUAAUAGUAAUAAAAAAUAAUUUUAAAGUGUUUAUUUUGUCUUGGAAUCGGAAUGGAUUAUUGUAAAUUACUAAAUUAAUCUUAGCUGAUUAUUGUCCUUAUUUAUUAUAAUAAUUGUGAUUAUGAUUAUUAUUCAAAAUAAUUAAUAAUAAUAAUAAAUUAAUAAAUUUUAAUAAUACUAUUAUUAAUAUAAUAAUAAUGACAAUCAUUAAAUGACAAUAAUAAUGAUGGUGAUGAUGACGACAACAACAAAUGAUAAUUCUUAUUAAUUCUAUGGAAGAACACUAUUAUUUUAUUAUUAUUAUUAUUAAUAAAUAAUGGACCUAGUUACAGAUAUUACAAAAUUUCUAUAAGGACCAAAAUAUAAAAGUGAUAAAACUUAAUUAUGAGCAAUUUGGGAAAUACAAAAAUUCAAUAGAAACAAAAUGGGGAGUUCAAAGAAUCAAAACAUAAUUCCCUGUCCCCAUGAGAAUCAAGUUCCAAUUUUUUAAUUCCAAAAGCAUGCAAAUCUCACUAAUUCCAUUCCCAUUCCCCUUUAUACUUUAAUAAAUAAACACUAUUAAUUAUUCACAUUCCGGAUUUCGAUUCCUUAAUCCUAUAAAUAAAUACACCCUUAAUACAUUAUACGCUUCAUUUACCUAUAUAUAUCAACUCUCUUUCAAGAGUUAUUAAAAAAAAUUUUUGAUAAAUUUCAUACUCAGACAAAAAAAAAAACUUGUUAUAUCCCAAUUUAGAAACAAUUUCACUGAUUUAUAAUAAGAUGCCAUGUUACUUUUGCAUCGAGGGAUUUUGUUCAAGAUUUUACUACAACUUAAAAUCCUGUAACAUAAUUCUGUACCAGCAUAUUUUUCAAAUGCCCACCCACCCACACCCCCCCCCCCCCCCCCCCCCCCCCCCCCCCCCCCCCCCCCCCCCCCCCCCCCCCCCCCCCCCCCACCAACGCAUCGAGGGAUUUUGUUCAAGAUUUUGCUAUACCUUUAAAUCCUGUAACAGAAUUAUGUACCGGCAUAUUUUUCAAAUGCAAUUUCUCACAACCACCCAACACCCCCACCCCCCAGAAAAAAAAAAAAAAACUUGUUAUAUCCAAAUUUAGAAACAAUUUCACUUAUUUAUAAUAAGAUGCCACGUUACAUCGACAUAUUUUUCAAAUGCCCACACCCCGCCCCCCCAGCGCAUCGAGGGAUUUUGUUCAAGAUUUUGCUAUAGCUUUAAAUCCUGUAACAGAAUUCUGUAUCGGCAUAUUUUUCAAAUGCAAUUUCUCACAACCAAACCCCCCCCCCCCCAAGACUUAAAAAAAAAAAAAAACUUGUUAUAUCCCAAUUUAGAAACAAUUUCACUUAUUUAUAAUAAGAUGCCACGUUACUUUUGCAUCAAGGGAUUUUGUUCAAGAUUUUGCCAUACCUUUAGGUGGUGUUUGGUUGGGAGGAGAGAAUGUAAGAGAAGAAAAUAAUUUAAAUUCUCUUUUUAUUUCCAUUGUUUGAUUUGACAAAAUGUAUAAGAAUUUAAUUUUUAUUAAAAUUUAAUUUCCAUCAUAAUGUAGAAUUUAAAUUCCACACUAAGUAAUGAAGAAUUUAAAUUUCACACUAAGUAGUGAAGAAUUUAAAUUCCUCUUAUAUUAAAAACUAAAGUUUCCAAAAUUAUAAUUCAUCUUUUUAACUUAUUUAAUGCCAUUAAUAAUUAUUAUUUAUAAUUUUAUUUUAUUGAUUUAAUAUUAUAAAUGGACAUACACCGGAAAGUCACCGGACCACCGCCGGACCUCGCCGGAAGGUCACCGGACCACCGUCGGACUUAUUUUUCAAAUGCAAUUCCCCCCAGAGUUCUUAUUUUGGAUGCAAAUUAACAAACUUUUCAGGGCCAAAAUAAGUCCGUCCUUGAUAACCAACAAAUUUUACGGAAUAAGGCACAAAACAUGAAAGAUAAACAUAAAAUUAUGAAACUCCCCGCCACGAUUGUCAACCUGAAAAUUUGGUACAAAAGGCUGAAUCAAUCCAUAGAGAAUUAUACACUCUCUAUAGGAACAUUUAACCCACCUUGAUUAAUUGAAACAUGGGAAAGCUUCAGCUUAAUAGCCUCAAAUUCAGCACUCUGCCUCUCUUCAUUUGUUAGCCACAAUGAUAAGCAUUCGUCAACCAAACCUUUGCCACAAUUCAAUGGAUAAUUUCUCUUAAGCAUCUUGCCUCUUCCAUAUCUUGUAAUAUGGGACAGAUUUGAAUCAGACGGCUCAUCAGCAUAACUUUCAAGAAUCUCCUUAAUAGCACCACACCAGAUUGGCCUGGCUACCUUAAGAAAGUCAUUCAACACUAACACUGGAAGCUUUACACUUCCUAAUUCAGAUUCGCCGUGCCCACCUCUUCCAUGAUAAUCUGACCCCCCGAGCUUUAAAAGAUCAUAGGUAUCAGCUAAGUCACUGUAUGCUGUCGAUCAAAUAAUAAAAUCAGGAGAAUUACUCAAUACGGAGGCAAGCAAUCCCAAGAAAUCAUAUAAUAAUUGCCAAGGGUAUGGAUAUAAUGCAGUCACAAUUACUUAUUUGCCGCAGGCACAGAAGCAACAGAAAGUUGUCAAUCUUUUCCAGAAAGUUUACAUCUGUGGUACACAACAAAAUCAAUACGACAAAAAGAAGUAUAGAAGACUAAAAACAGAUUGCUAAAUGUUUUUUUGAUGCAGCAUAGAAGUUUCAUCCCUAAUUCUAAAUAAAGAAAAGCUUAUCACACCUCCAUAACAGUGCAUGUGCAUUUUGGAAGUCUUCAGCAGUAUCAUACAUCAAAAAGGAUUAUUUAUAUGAAACACGAGCAGUAGCUGCCAUAAACAUUGACACACAGACUAAAUUACCUCCAUUGAUCGAUUUUCGAUGUUGUCUAAAGAUUUACAAAUUGAUAAUUCAUUAAUUCAAGGAUAAACAGUUCACAUCAAAUAAUUAAAUUUCAAAAUAUGAAGGUGAAUAUAUUGCAGUCAGUCUGCAGCAUUGGAUUGGAAGUGACCAAAGAGAACAGUAAGUGGUAAGAGAGAAAAUAGGGAACCAUCUUGCAAUGUAAAUAUCACACCUACUAGUUUUCCAUCACUUCUGUAAACCUCUAACCCAUGAAGGCCCACAUCUUUCAACUUUCUAAUGAUGGCAGCAGGAUUCUUCAAUGCCCAUGGAUGAGCAAGUACUGCCAACCCACCCGUUCUAUGUAUCAAUUGAACUGCUACCUCUGCCAGAGGUUCACUUCCCCUACAACCACAGCAACCAGAAACUUUAUAGUCAGUUUCAUCUAUUAGAAAUAUGCAUUAACUAUAUUCUAUACAUUUUUCAACAGCAUCCACUGGUUCAUUACGUGGAGUAUGCAGGUCCCCCAUCAUAGAGAUAUCUGGCAAAUGCCUGUUUCAGAUUCUCCACAUGGCCUGCUUCAACCAUAGCACGAGCCACAUGCAGUCUUCCAGGAGCAACUCCCUUGCCAGCAAUCUUUGCCACGUGCUCCCACUUAAGAGGUAACUUCAGUUUAUUUAGUUUCAAGAUCAUGUCUUUAGCACGUAGGAAACGGCCAUCCCUUAUGUUAGCCAAGAAAUUUUCCAGUUCUUCAUACUUUGAUGGCCCACAGCUACUAUAGUACGCAAGGAUGUGAACUGGUUCCUCUGAUUCAGAGCCCCUGCUUUUUUUUCAAGAAAACAAAUAUUGGCAUCAUAUCAAAAUUAUGAGAAACAGUGAAUUACUCGGAACUUCUAUUUCCUGCUUGUCAAUUCUUGGAAUAACAAAUCAUAAAACAGAGUUCAGACGCGUAAGGGUUUAAGAAAGAAGUAUAUGACAUGAAAACACUACGAGAAAGUGUAUCCGGAAGACAAGGAAUUAGAUACAAUGAUGGUUAUGAAUGUGAAACAAGACCUUUGACAGAAAAUUGUGCUGAUUUCGACACCGGGAAUUAUCUUCAUGCCAAAUCUGCGAGCUGUUUCAAUGGCCUCAGGUAUGCCAGACAUGGUGUCAUGAUCAGUCAGAGCAAGAACUUUCACCUGCUCUAAAUACAAUGGAAUAAUGAAGUUUCUGCUUCCAGCUGAUAUUUAGAGAAUGCAAAAGGAAGUGAAAGGAUCCAGAGAAAAAUGGCAAUCAAUUGCAUUCUUAAUUUUAAAAAAAAAUGCUACAAUAACAUAAAGAUAUUCACACAUUGCAUAAAAUUAAUUACUUUCUAUAGAUAAACAAUCAUAAGUAUGGUUGUCGUAGUUCAAAAAAUUCACAAACAAGGUAUAAGAAGUUCAGCAGUAGAACUUCUCGAUGAACAACAAAUUAUAUUACAAUCGGCUGUCCAACCAACAAAAUGCCCGAAAUGAAAUACAAGUAAAUGCAUCAUUCUUCUAUUAGAUAGAGACAAUAAGAAUGCAAUGCCAAUUCAAUAAUUACCAAGUAACAAGCUGAUAAGUGCAAAAUAACUUGAAAUGAUGUUCAGGUAAAACAAACAUACAAAAAGAAAAAUAAACAAAAAGCAAAUUUACAUGUUCAAUAACUCAACAAAAAAAUAACAGCACUAGAAAACUAAAAAGAGUUUUAAUGGGGUUUAUCUUUAGGUCUCCCUGUCAAAUAUUAACAAAGUUUACCAUGGCUUUCAAUGCCCUGUAAGAUCAUAACUUUACGAGAGAUUCUGCUUGAAGCAUGCUCUACUGGUUGUUUAUUUUUAGAUCUACUUUCUGGAUAAAGCUUUUCAACAGUGACAAGCCCUUUGGAUGGUCAACUGCCAUCAGAUAAAGGAGGACAAACAGGUUUCAAUUCAACCUUAAAAUUCAAGAGGCAAAAGUAGUCCCUCUAUAAUUGUAAUGCUCAAUCAUUACAAAAGGAUGACAAGAAGAAGGUUUUCGCCCCAUUAUAAACCCGCAAAAUAAUGUCAAAAGAUUAAAAUGACCAAUAGCUUCACAUUUCCAGUUCUGGAAGUCAAGAUGUGAAAGAGAAGACAAAUCAACAAAGCAAUUAUGUGGACAGUGUAAUCGUCUGAUGAUAAGCCAAAAAUAUAGGAAGAUGGUUGUUCUCCUGUCAAAGCCUCCUCAACCUAUGAAUAAAACUAGAACAGAAAUGUUAUCACCAUUCAAAAUGUUAUAGCAAAUAAAACAUCAAGGUGAAAGUGACUACAAAUAAACUACUUCAUUCAAAGAGUUUCCAAUACAAAGGAGCACUCUUAAGGUGACAGCUUCUAAGUAGAAAGAAGCUUGAGUCUAUAGAUGCUGUAUCUAAAUUGAAAUUUUAUUGUUCACCUUCAUCCUUUUUAUCUGCAUCUCCUGAGAGAAGAUCUUCUAACUCAGUUGUUUUCACUUCUUUCAAUCAAGUUUCUGUAAGUUAGUUACAUUUGCCAGUGUUGUGUGCUUGUAACUUAGAGAAAAAAAGGUUUUGCAUAGAAUUCUGCCAUGACUUAAAUGAAAUUAUUCUCCAUCCAUUACCAGCAUCAUUGUGAUUAUCAUUGACUACAUCCUCACUCCAAAUCUACAGUGAGGCUCCUCAUCAUCAUCAAAUUAUGCAAAGGAUGCCGUUGUUAAUCAAACAGGGAAAUGUUAUCCCCAAUAGGAAAAAUGUGUGAAACACAUUUAACAUCUUAAAGAUGCAUAAUCUGAUAGCACAGCAGAAGACAGUCAGGACUAAAGGCAUCAACUGAUAAAUUAAUUAAGAGGUAAAGCAUUGGCAAUUAUAUAUCAACUGAACAACAAAGAGACUUUUCUCAAAGGGACAAACAAAAAAAAUAGACUUUUGCGAUUAAUAAUAAUCCAAAAGAGUAUAAGAGACUCAAGUUCACAACCAAUAACAGCGCAACUCCAGAAAUAAUAUAUAAAUGAGGGCUCAAAAAGACAGAGAAAAACAAUAAUACAUUUACAGAAACAAGAACUGCGAAAUUCUUCAAACAAAAAUGAACCCAAAUCAUUCGGACUGCUCUUUUUUUCAGAUUAAAAAUGAUAAAAAAAUAAAACUAAAAACAAACACAAUAUAGAAAUCAGACUCACCCCGUUACAAUGAGCUCUCUCAACAAGCUUAGAAGGUGACAAGUAGCCAUCACUAAAAUUGGAAUGUGAAUGCAAUUCAAACACCACGUUGUUGUCCACAGCUCUAUUAAGAAUCUGGUGCACUCCGAAAUCAUCCUCAGAGGAAGAAGAAGAAUGACUUUGAUCCAAAAAAACCCAUUCGGUUACAGAGUUGAAAGCAAGACUCUGCUCGGCUGUCAUCUUCUUCUUGCCACCACCGCGCUUCUUCUUCGUCUUCUUCUUUUUGUCUUUUGGUCUCUUCUCGACAUGACCAUCACCAACCAUGUUUCUUUUUCCUUUUUUAAUUUUUAUUUUUAUUUCUUUGGAGGAAUAGUUUGGUUUGAGGGUUUUGGUAUGUUUUGUUGGGCCACACAAAGAGAAGAGAAAGAAGUUGUGCGGUGGUUAAAGUUUCAAGGUCAUUACAGUCUAUGUAAACGCAACGUAGGGGCUGUAGAUAGGGUACGAUUACGAUUGCUUUAAGAUAAUUGGGAAGAAAAAAAAAAGUACAAAACAGAAUAAAAAGCUAUUAGGAGGAUUGGUCUGGUCACAACCACAGGUGUCCUGGGUCCUCUCCUCUUAGCAUCUUCUGAGAUCGACAGGUGUUCUCGCCAUUCAAUGUUUCCCCUAUUACACGUGUCAUGUCUAUUUUGAAGUCAAAAUGGAAUUAAAAAAAUUUGUGAUAUUUUACUUCACUUUAUUUUUAUUAUUUAUUAAUUAUUAUUGAAAUAUAAUUAUAGGUAAAUAAAUUUAGGUAAAUUUUAAUUAUUCGAUUUGUUUACUAAUUGUAUUAAACAAAUUAAAUAAAUUUGAAUCAUGGGAUCAAUAAAUAAAAUUUGAAUCCACCAAAUUUUAACUUUAAAAUUAGGAUGUGUUUGAUACUGUAACACGUCUUAAUUUAAAAAAUGACUUUAAUCACAAAUUGAAUAUAUAAAUUUAUUUUACCAAUCAUACAUUUACUCCUAUCACAUCCUAAAUGUAAUUGUAAUAGGAGCAUUUGAACUGAUAUCCUAACCGAAUUUUCAAUUUUUUAUACCAUUACUAUUUACUAACAUUUGAUUUUUGUGAAGAUUUAUAACGAAACCAAUAGAAUUGUGGGUUUGGAUUAUUCGAUGGGAUGGAGUUUUCACCCACCCUUAGUGAUAGAGAAUGACUACCAUUUAUGGCUAAUCUGUUCUUCCAGUGAGUUUUAUUUUUUAAGUAAUAGAAUUAAAAUAUUAUUAAUUUAAUAUAAAUAUUAAAUUAUAAAAGACAAUAAACUCUAUUUGCCUUGGUGGCAAAGCUUAUGUUACAGCUAUAAAUUUUUAAAUUCUUAAAAAACAUAAUAAUUAUUAAAAACAUCAAUAAGUUUUAAAGUUUCACUUUAAACCUUAGGCUGCAGCCAGACAAUAGUACUACUAAGAGUUCAAAUUUUUUUGAAGUUUUCCAUUUAUAUUUAUGACAAAUUUAGUACUAAAUUGCUCAAUAAUUUAUUUUAUUUAAUUUAAUUGAAUCUCUAACUUAUUUAAUCUUAUAUCUAUUGAGUUUUUAUUCAUUAUAUUAAUGAUCUCUUACUUUUAUAUAUCAUGAUCUUCAUUGUUAAAGUAUUUCAUUAAUUGUUUAACUUUAUGAAAUUCUUUACUCAGUUAAUCUCUUAACUUUUUAAUUUAUUUUAUAUUUUCUCCAUUGAAAUUAUUAAUUUCUAAUAUUUUAUUUACACUUUCUAUAUCAUUUAUAGAUAAAUUUGGGUUUCCUAAUUUAUUUAAUAACUAUAGUGACAAUCAAUUUAAUUGAUUAUUUCUCCAUAUUUCUAGAUCAUUGAUCAGAUCAAAGGGUUGAAAUCUUUCAUAGAAAAAUCCUCUUUGCCCAUAGCUAGAAGUGGUAAAUCCUCUUUGCCCAUAGCUAGAAGUGGUAACUUAUUUUCUAUGUUUUAUGAAAUUAUUUGAGGUUUUGGUAAUUUAUUCAUUAUACCAUCUUUCUAAUAAUUCAUUCGAUUCAUAAUAUAUUUUUCACAUGUUAUUUAUCUUAUAAUUCAGGAUAUUAAAUUUAGGUUACAAAAUCUAAGUGAUAGCAUUGAUGGUAUGUAUUUAGGAUUGGAAAAUAGAUUGAAUAUAUCUAUGUGUGUGUGUAUUAGAAGAAAAAUCUAGUCUAUAUCUCAAGAGAGACAAGAAAUUAUAAAUGCACAUGCAAAAAUAUAUUCAAAUUUUGUAGAUCUCUAUGAAUAUAUGAUGAGAUUAAGGAUAAAACUAUCACAAGCACGUGGGAUGAGGCAUAUUCAGAUCUUAUUCAAGUUCCCGUCGGACCCGUUACAAGAGCUCGAGCAAAGAAAUUCAAAGAAGUGCUUAAUGGAUUGAUUCAAACAACUUGAGCUCAAUCAAAUUCGUGGAGGUCCGUUGAAAGAAUCGCACAUGAUAAAUGCAUGAUUCAAGCUCUUAAAGUUUUCAAAUAAUCACUUCUAUGAAAUAGGGAGUUGGCUUGCACAUUAUGCUGGGAAAAUAUAUUAUUUUCCUUUUUCAGAUACUUUCUCGUUUCUUGAGGAGGCUAUUAGGGAAGCAAAUCAGUUAUUUAUAUUUUAAUUGCCUAGUUUCCAUUUUAAUUGAUGUAAGGUAUUUAAGCCAAUUAGGAUCCUGAUUUGAUUUAGAUUCUUUCUUAUUUACUUAGAUUAGGAUUCUGAUUUGAUUUAGAUUCUUUCUUAGUCGCUUAGAUUAGAAUUAUAAUUUGAUUUAGAUUUUUUCCUAUUUGUUUAGAUUCAGAUUCAUAUUUGAUUUUUGGUUUAGGAUUUAUUUCCAAAAAUUCUUGUAACCAACCCUAUAUAAUGUACUCGAAUCCAAUAAACAGAUACGUUUUUUAUGCAAUUGGUGAGGAAGUUAAUUCUCUUUGGUUCUUUAUAAACUCUUUGAACUUAUCUGAUUUCCAUGGCGUUCAAACUCUUGACUUAUGAAUCAGACCAUCCAUAACUGAUUGUGGCAUCUUCACAUACCAAGGUUCGUGCUUUCAUUAAGCAUUGGGUAGAGGUUCCAUUCAAUUCCUGGUGUAUAAUCGAUCUUGGGGACAAAAUUGAUUAGGGUCGUGUCAGUUCUUGAUGAGAUUCGUAUCAUUUAUUAUCAGAGCCUAGGCACCAAGGUCAAAUUCAUCUACCUUUAUUGUUUUUCAUUCUUGUUUGAAUUUUUCAUCCUUGUUCUAGUAUCUAAAAAAAAAAAAAAAGUCGUGAAUAGUGCCGCUUGAACAGUGUCGCGUGAGCAGUAUUUGCUUGAACUGUGCCGUGUGAACAAUGUUUUUAGGGUUUCUUUUUUUUUUUUUAAUCAAUUUUGCAUCCUUGUGGUUUAAUUCUCCUUAAAUCCACAAGUUUUAUCUAUUCUUUUUCCAAAAAAAAAAAAGAUAGAAAGAAUUCUUGACCUCCUCUUUUUAAUCUUUCAACUUUUCCAUUAUUUGUGUCUUGAAAGUCCAAAACUAGUUUUACCCCAUUGGUGAAAAUUUUUGCACAAAAUCAAAACCUGACUUUACGUACACAUUGCCUCUUACUCUUGAAAUUUAAGUCUCUUUAGUGUAAUCUUUGUGAAUUGCUGCUGAAAUCUUGAAAUUGGUUUGAUUAGUUUGAUAAGACCUGAGUGAAAAUUACUAUGAGUGGAAAAAGGUAAGAGAGUGUGAGCGUAUUAGAGGGUAAAAGCCAAUUAAUUUGAGUGAAACACGAGUGGAAUUGAGUGAGUCAUUUUCUUGAGUGAAACACGUAAGGGAGUAAGGUGAGGUCCUUUCCACAUUAUUUCUAACUUUUUUUUGCAGAUGUCAGCUAUGUCUCACAACUUAUAAUGAAACACAAAUGAAGAGGAUCAAUCCGCAACUACUCAGAAUUUACAAAUUCAAGCAUUGAUGGGAGAGAUGAGAAGGAUGAUAAGGGCUGAAUUAGAGCUCAUACACGUGAACCACUCCACUAUUAUACAAAUUUGUAACACUCUACUAUAUUAUUUACUUAAAAAAAUGCUUAAAAGCACAAUUACUUUUAAUAUAAAUACGAAUUCUAAAAGUUUAGCACAAUCCAACAAAACUUUAUUACAGAAAAGUAAGAGUCAGAUAUAGAUUUCUUAGUUUAUUUAAAAACUUAAUUAUUACAUAAAGCCAAGAUACUUAUUUUUAUUAACAAAAAGUUGAGCCCAUCAUAAAAUCCCAAGGUCAGUUUUGCCCAGAUGCACUUCGUCUUGGUUAAGACUUGGCGCCAGCUUGCCCUACUCAUUGUUACCAGCAAUGUAAGGACUUAAUGAGCUAAUGCCCAGUAAGAUAACACUAUGGAUGACCAUAUUAAGCUCUUAAAAUAAACUUAGAAAAUACAAAACAAUUUUAUUUGGGCCCUAAGUAUGUUGCACUACAAGGUUGGCACUUUUACUCUUUAAACAAUAUGUCAUUGGGCCUCAUUAGUUGAUUUUUUGGGCGUUAUGUAUCGUCGUCCCCAAAAGAUUUCUUUCAACUUAGCUUUGAGGGCUUGCCCUCCUUAGAACUCUGCCACUUGGUAGUACAACCACCUAUUUUUCAUAAAUUCAUUUUCUGAAACGUAUUCUUCAUAAUGUAGUCCAUGAUAUGCAUGCAUCCAAUGCAACUUAUAACAUUUGAAAUGGUCCUAAUCAUGAGAUUGUAGAUAAGGUUGAGUUGCAACCUUAUAUGGAAAUUGAGGAGAUGGUACACAAAGCCAUCAAGAUUGAGCAGCAACUCAAGAGGAGGGGUAACACCCGUGCAGUCCCAAGCUCGAGUUCCACUCCUUAGAAGCCAAGCUAUGUGAAACGAGACAAGAGUUACUCCACUUUCCCAAAAGUAACUUUACCAAAAAGCAAGUCCAACAAUUCCUUGGAAUUAUCAAUUACAUCCGAGAUUUCCUGCCACAUGUCAAUCACUAUACAAGCAAGCUGUCUGCACUCCUAAAAACGAAUCCACCAUCCUGGUCAGAUACCCACACAAAUGCUGUAAAGCAAUUAAAGUAGAUUGCCCAAAAUUCACCACCUUUAAAGCUUAUUGCAGACGAAAAAAGGAUUUUACAAACAGAUGCAAGUGAUGAAUCAUGGGGGGCCAUCCUCCUUGAAGAAUGCAAUGGAAAAGAGCACUUUAUUGCGUACGCAAGUGGACAAUUCCCUUAUCACACAGUCUACAAAGAAAUCUUAGCCGUGAAAAAUGGUAUCAAGAAAUUUGAAUUCCAUUUAAUUGGCCAUAGAUUCUUGAUUCGACUGGAUAAUUCAGCUUUUCCCAAUACCUUGAACUUUAAGCAGAAGGUUGUUCCAGAAAAAAAACCUUACUUCGGCUUAAAGAAUGGUUCUCAAGAUAUGAUUACCAUGUCCAGCAUAUAAAUGGAGAUCAUAACCUCAUCCCAGAUCUACUAUCCAGACCUCCAAAACCAAAACCUCCCCAGUUCUUUUGUAUCACUUCUCAGAUUUCCUUUCCGAUCAUUGCCAUGACUAGUUCAUUCCCUAAAAUAGCCCUCACCCAGAAGUCUUUCCCACUCAACAUGACCUUUCAAUCACCUCAUCAGAUCCAAGACUUUGCCAGAAAAUUCCUUUUUAGGUUUUUUAUGAACAUCUACAUGUUGAGUAAAGAACCUAUGUUUUUUCCCAGUUUUCAUCCUGAUCACCUUUUCCUCACAGGAUUAGUAAUUACACCCCAUCGAGAUAUUACUGAAGAUGAACUUUGGUAUAUCUGGUGUCUUACUGUUCUGUAUGCCACAAAAUUGGUUUUCCCAGUUUUACCCCUCCUCAACAAGCUCAAUCAUCCAGAGUUCUCCACUUCUCUUACCUGGACUCUCUUUGAGUGGUUUUCGCCAUUACCAUGGUGGCGCAAAAAACUACAACAGAUUGCUGACACACAUUGUCUUCUAGAGCUUCCAGACCAAGAAGGAAAACAGUUCACUACUGUUUUUAUUAUCCACCGUCCAUACUUCCAGCAUCCUCAAACCAAAGAUUUUUGGACACAGAAUCAGAGUUAUGAAUGGAUCAUUGUUCCUCACAUUGCAUGUCUUGAACAAGAUUUUCAAAUCAAGACUUCCUUAAAGAACUUCCUCAUGGAACUUAAAGGAAAAAGACACCCAAAAAGAAAAAACCAACAGUCCCAUGUCAUCAUUGUGAACCUCAAUCCCCGAAAGACCCUCCACCUCCACCAGCUCCAUUACACAUCUACCGAAAAGAACUCAAAUGGAUUGCAAAACAUUGCAAAUCUGAGAUUCCAUCACCACUCCCACACCCAAUACCUAUCGUCCAACCACUGGCUUGUAUGAUGUUUUCCUCUACUUCUUCAGAUUACUCUUCCUCCUUUCCUCAUUUAGAACCUCACACAGAUUCACAUCGAAAUGUUGUGUCCAAACCCUUUAUCCCUUCACCUAUUACCUCCUCUGGCCACCUUGAGCCCCCCAAGCCUUUUGAAUCGGUCCUCAACUGGCAAACUCAAAAUGCCAGGGCACAAAAUGAUACUUUGUUGCAACUCAAUUCAAAAGUUUUCGAACUGAACAAAUUGAGACGAAAGUUGACUCUAUUGCUGCCCAGAUGCAACAGAUCCACCAAAAUCUUCAAUCCAGAAUUGUUCAACUCGAUUCAGAGUUACGAGCCAUGCUUGCCCACAUAUACAAUGGCCCAGAAUUUGACCAAAAAGAAAAGGAAAUCAGGCGCUUAAAAGCUGAACUUGCUCAGAUUGAAUCUGACAAACAAAAACCUACCCUUUUUACCACACCACCACCAAUCCCUUCUAUAGGUCCAACUUAUCAUCCCUUUGCCUCCAUGCUUUCUCCUAUUAAACAGUAUGACCCUUCCAAGUUAUUUGGCAUGACUCAUACUCUUUUCAGAGACAAUCAUUUACCACCACCACCUAAACCUAAACCAAAGUCUAAACCUCGACCACGACCCGUCACAUUUCAUCAAUCCUCUAUUUCUAUUCCUGGUCAAAUUCUGAUUGGUAUGGUGAUCGAUGUAAUUUAUUCCUCAUGUAAUCGACAUAAGGAAUAAAGUCUCUGAUGUAAUUGAUGAUGCCAAGGAAUUACUGUAUCUGUUUCCUGGUGAGUUGUUGAUCUGGAAAGUGGAACAAUUCUUGGGCAACGUGCUUUCCUGGCUGGUAGUGUCCGUCUUUGAUAAUCAUUCCAAGGAAUUCAAUAUUAUCUGUUGUAAUGGUGCUUUUCUUGGCUUCAACAUAAUUCUGUAAAUCUGGAUGAUAUCAAAAAUUGAUUUAAUAAUUGGCGAUGUUCUUCAUGUGUGCCUGAAAACAACAAAAUAUCGUUAAUAUAAAUCAAUGCAUGAUGCAGGAUGGGUUGAAAGAUUUUGACCAUGACUUUUUGAAAAAUGGAGGGAACAGUUUUCAAGCCGAAAGGUAAAACUGUCCAUUGAUAAUGAGCAUUAGGGAUGCAAAAAACGGUUUUGGAUCUUUCUAAAGGUUCAAUGCCAAUUUGCCAAAAACUUAACUUGGUAAAAACAUGUUUAAGGGUUGAUAGUCAAUGACUAAUCACUUUUUUCCCCUAACAAGUUCAGAACGUUUUUCCACAUAAAACGCUUGACAAGCCCAUUGAGACUUGGUAGGUUCAAUAAGUCCUUGGGCCAAGAGUUAUGAACAUUCCUUUUGGGCUAAGGCUAAGUCAGAUGGGCUCAUUCCUGGAUGAGUAGCCUUAGUAGGAUUGAUGUCUUCAUUUAGUUUGAAAGGUAACUGAAUAAAGAAAGAUUUAUUUCUGCACAAAGGAUUUGGGUGGAUGAAGUCAGAAUGGAAUUCUGGACAAUAUUUUAGGAGCUUGGUUGAGAAAUCUUGGUAAGAUGGUGGAGAUUCGAACAGAAUGUAAAGCUUAAGGAUUUCUGUGAAAGAUUUGAACAUGGAUUUGACCCUGAUUCCAUUGAAAAGAAUUUGAAGAUGUUUUAAUUGGUGGAUGAUGUCAAAUCCGAAUAAGAUAUCCUUAUUAGGGAGUUUUGAACCAAUGAUUUUUGUCCAGAUAACACAAUUUGGGAAGAUUUGAAUACUAAUGGGAUUUUUGGUAAUUAAUUCUGUGGUGAACAUUUUUCCAUCUGCUGCUUUGAAAUGUUUUGUAUGAGGUUUCCAGUUUUGAGCUGGAAGAAUAUCUGAAUUCAUCAUGCUUUUUUGGGCACCAGUAUCUAGAAAUCCUAUUGGUGGUAUGGGUCGUUGAAACUUUGAAGGUAAGAUUUGGAGUUUGAUGGAGGGAAUUGGAAUGGUAGUAUUUAGGGACAACGAUUGUUGAUGAAAAAUGGAUUGAAACUCAUCGUUUCCUGAAUCAUCAGAUGAGUUUUCCAGUGCAAACACUGUUUCAUCAGUAGGGUCUUCUUGUUCUGAGAAGUAAGAUUCUACUUCUUCCUUUUCAGCAGAAUACUCAGUAACAGCUUGUAAAUGCUUUACCAAUCCUUUGCAUAGUGGCCUUUUUUCCCGCAAAUAAAGCAUCUGCUAGAUUUUUUCCUGCCCUGCUCUUUGCAAGAGAAAGAUCUUUUCCUGAAGAAUUUGUAUGGUUUCUUCCAUUUCCUAGAUUUUGAUUUAGAAAAGGAAGUUGGAUGCCUGAUCUUCUUGAAAUGCUUUUUCCGUGGAUGACUGCAGUCACAGUCUUUUUUAUCUUUGCAUUUGAUCUGCAAGUAUGGUUUCUUACAGGCGCUUCUGAAAGGCUCUUUGUCUUUGACCAGUUCUUUGAAGAACUGUUUUUGCUCACAAAAUUUUUCCAAACAUCCCUUAGCCAUCUGAAAGAUUUUUCUCAAGGAGAUGUUGUCAAUGUUGAGGUUGUGCACCGUAAGUUGUCGCUGAAUUUCUAGUUGCAAUUCAGUAGGUAAGGAAGCCAGAAACACAUGCUUUAAGGUGUGAUCGUUGAAUCCAUUAAGCUUGUAGAACAUGAUUGACAUUCUUUUGUAAUGAAAAUCAAGAUCUUUAGUAUUCAAAUAGCAACACUUCAUGUUGAGAUAGUCUCGUCUUGCUGCUUCAAAAACUGCAGAUGGUUCUCCAAUAAAUUACCAAACUAUAAUUGUCUGUAGGGGCCAAGACUGUCAAACCAGUCUCUCAGAGAUCCCGUGAAACGGGUGACAAACUCUUUAAGGACUGAUUCAAUUGUUGCACCAGAUCUUAUCAUCUGGAGAUCUACCCAGGCUGACAUUUCGGAUAACUUCUCUCUCCAUUUGACUGUGGGAAUGUCAUCAAAUGUAAACCAUGGACCGUUUGAUGGUUUGUGGCUAUUCUGAGCUUGGGGCUGAGGUGGUUGAUUGGUUGAGGAUUCAGCUGGCUCAUCAAUGUCUGAGGGUAUUUCAAAGUACGAUUCUGGUUGAGAUGGUUGUGCUGGUUCUGUUUUUUCUGGUUGUGCCAUCAAAAGUUUAGUAAUAUCUGCAUAAGCACUUUCUAAAUCAGUGGUUGAAAUUGAAGAUUUUGUAUCAGAUUCUGCCACAUAAGUAUCAAUUUCUGUGGAAGCAGUGGAGACUUCAAUGUGAUGGGAAGCAUAUUGAUACAUGGGUUCUUUAUCCUUGGAUUGAGAUGGUUGUGGGGUAAAAAUAGGAGUAUGUUCUGGAGAAUCUUGUUGUUGUGUAGUAGUGGAGGUUGGUUGAUGAAUUUUGAUAGGUCUUGGUUGGGGUUUAGGUUUUGGUUUUGGCUGAGAUAGUUGUGGCAUAUUUUUGAAAAGAGUAUGUGUCAUUCCAAAUAGUUUGGAAGGAUCAUACGGUUUCAUUGGUGCAAGCAUAGGGCUGAAUGGAUGGUAAGUUGGACUGAUUGUAGGUAUGAGAGGUGAUUUGGUGAAGAGUGUAGGUCUGUGUUUUUCUGAUUCAAUCUGAUCAAGCUCUGCCUUUAGACGUCUGAUUUCUCUCUUCUUUUGAUCAAACUCGGGACCAUAGUAUCUUUGGCUAAGCAUGACUCUUAAGUCUGCAUCCAGCUGGGAGAUUCGGGAUUGUAAAUCUUGGUAGAUCUGCUGCAUUUGCAAGGUUAUUGAGUCAACCUUGGUUUCGAUCUGGUCAGUUUGUAAACUGAUCUUGUCAACCUUUUUGUGGAUGUCUACCAAUGUGUCAUUUUGUUCUCUUGCAUUUUGUGUUUGCCAGUUGAGGAUUGAUUCAAAUGGUUUAGGUUCUUCUAGGUGACCACCAGAGGUUAUGGCUGAAGGAAUGAAAGGCUUUGUCAUAACCUUUCUUUGUGAAUCAAAUUGGGAUUCUAAGGAUGGGAAAUUGAAAGAAUAGUCUUUGGAUGAUGAAGAAAACAUCAUGCAGGCAAUGGGUUGAGGAGUAGAAGUCUGGUUUAGAUUUGGUGAAAAAGUUUCAGUUUUGCAAUGUUUUGCAAUCCAUUUGAGUUCUUUUUUUGUAUACGGGUAACGGAGCUGGUGGAGGUGGAGGGUCAUAUGGCAGUUUUUCUUUUGUGUGGUUACAAGGAGAAUGAAUUUUCUUUUUUGGUUUUCAGGGACAAUUUGGGUCGCACUUUCCGGAUCCUGGAGUAUCCCAUAGAAAGUGUCUGUUUAACUUUGCAGGGUAUACUGGGUACCCUUCCGAGCUAAAUCCUAUGAUUGACAGAUCUUCUUGAGUUGUUUGAACAGCCGUGAUCAUUGAAGAAUAAGUUAAUGAUAACCUGGGAGGCUCCUGAGGAGCACUAGGUAACGGCUGAGAGGUACUCGGUGGAGGUCGAAAAGUCAUUAUGACAGUACCAUCUGGCCUUCUUUCAAACAUACUUUCUAAUGUCUGAAUUGGGGCCGUAUUGUUAUGGAACUUCUUAUAAUUUGAAAUCCAUUCCAGCAGCAUGAGUUUUAUGAGUUCAUGGUGAGGGAUUUGUCUAGGGAUUUGGAUGAUGGUUGGAAUUUGGUCUGAUUCUGCUAAUACCAUAAGAGCAUCAGAGUGGUUGUCAGGUGUGGGAAGAUCCAAGGCAUGAUUUUGAAGCCUAUAGACCAACUAAUGGUGUAAUGUAGCCAUUUUUGUUGAGGAGAUUUGUUCUGCUCCUUGAAUUUGAACUUGAACUUUCAAAGCAGUUGACAUGUUGGUAUCUUGGAGAGAUAAAUUGAAAUUGGGGUAGAAAGUGAGAAGAACACUUCCAGCAUGCAAAGUAGUUAGAACAAUACCAACUACUGCAUCCUGAAACUAUUUGAAUCUGGUGUCAAGCAUAGCAAUUCUGGCUGUAACAUGUAAUCCUUUUCUUCCAUGUAAGGUCAGGAUUAAUCGGACUCCCCCAAGAUGGAGAUGAGUAUAACCUUCUCUUUUCCAGUUGGAAAUUAAUUCUGGAGGUAUUUCCAAAGUAACAUACUACUUAGCUGUGGUGGAUUGAAGAGUGUACUGAUCUAGUCUAGAGGACUGGAUGUAUUCUUUUGGGUGAGGUCUUUUAGUAGAGAUAAGGGUUCGUAUACUUCUAGUAAAAGAGUUUCCUCUCUUGUAGAGCUGAUAUGGGCUAAGAAGAGGGAAUGAGGAUUCAUUGAUCUAGGCUGACUCAGGGAUAUAUGAGUAUUCAACAAGGUUUUCUAUUUUAUUGGCAGGGUAAAGACAGAGUAGAAGAAAGGGAGAUUGGAGUAAUUGUAGAAGUAGAAGCGUCAUUAGAUGAAGUAGAUGCCAUGAGUGAAAAUUUCUUUCUGUUUCUGAAGCCUAACUAUUUUUCAAAGAAAUGGGGAAGACUCUUAUCAUACCACUUUGGUACGUUUGUGGCUCUGAUACCAUAAUAGGCAACGAAGUACGUGGCGUUGUUAAACCAAAGCAAUGGCGAAAAGAUCAUCCUUUGGACCAGUAGUCCGCAUGCUUGGGUUUCCAGCCGAUAUACUCAGAUGAAAAACAGAAAACUUCUAUUCAUCAACCUGUAUACGCUGUGCACUCACAACAAAUCCUAGAAACACAAGUUUACUAGUGUAAAAGGUACACUUCUUUACAUUAACAAACAACUUUUUCUUCCUAAGUACAUUUAAAACAUAUUUCAAAUGUACUAUAUGUUCGUCUAAGUUUUUGCUAUAUAUGAUGAUAUCAUCAAAAUAAACAACAAACUUGCCAAUAAAAGCUCGUAAAACAUGAUUCAUAAGUCUCAUAAGAGUGCUCGAGGCAUUAGUCAAACGAAAAGGCACGACUAACCAUUCAUACAAACCAUAUUUUGUUUUAAAGGAAAAUUUUCAUUCAUAUUCUUCUUUCAUUCUAAUAUGAUGAUAUCCACUUUUCUGGUCAAUUUUAGAAAAUACACAAGACCCCUGCUAUUCAUCAAGCAUAUCAUCUAACCUAGGAAUAGGAUGUCGAUACUUUACCGUCAUGUUGUUGAUGGCUCGACAGUCAGCACACAUCUUCCACAUUCCAUCCUUCUUAUGAACUAAUAAAACCAGAACUGCACAAGGGCUCAUGCUUUCUCUCACGUACCUUUUUUCCAUCAAUUCAUUAACCCGCCUUUGAGGUUCCUUUGUCUCUUCUGAGUUACUCCUAUAGGUUGUUCGAUUUAGAAUGGUUAUACCAGGUACAAAAUCAAUCUGAUGCUUAAUUCCCCAGAUUAAAGGUAAACCAUGUGGUGUUUCCUUGGGAAAGACAUCCUCAUAUUCUUGUAAGAGAGAAGUAAUAGAACUAGGCAAAGCAGGGUCAAGUUCAUUAGUGUUUAAAAAUGCCUCUUUGUACAAAAGUACAAUCAUUGGCUAAUUUGAGAACAACCAUUUUUUUAUCUCACUCGCUCUUGUAUGUAAAUUCUUUUGUUUUCCCUCAGAUUUUCACUAAGUGGCUGCAUUUUUCUUGGCUUUUUCUCUCUUAUUUUUCUCAAUCUCUUUUUUAUUUUCAUUCUUUUUUCCUCUCUUUUUCUUUUGCUCACUCUCCUUGUUUUGAUCACUCUCUCUCUGUAGGUUCACUUGGUCUCCAUAAACUUAUUUUAGUGUCAAUGGAACAAGAGUGAUGUUUGCGUUGAUUAAAUACAAAUGAGUAUUUGUUGGUGAAGUCAUUAUGCUUUACACGUUGGUAGAAUUGCUAAGGCCGCCCAAGUAACAAGUGUCUAGUUUGCAUUGGUACUACAUCACAUAACACUAUAUCUUCAUACUUGCCAAUCUGAAAAGGUCACUAGUACAUGCUUGUUCACUUUUACCUUACCAUUAUCAUUCAACCCACUGUAGUUUGUAUGGUCGUGGGUGUUUAAGUGUCGAAAGCCCUAACUUCUCCACCAUGAUAGUGCUAGCAACAUUAGUACAACUUCCUCCAUUAAUAAUCAUACUAUAUACUUUGUCUUGAACAUAACACCUAGUAUGGAAAAUGUUUCCUGUUGUAUGAUCAUACUAUAUUCUUUUGACCAUAAGUGAUGAUGAAAAAGAUUAAAGGACUAGAGUUAGAUAAUAAAAUGUUGCAUGAUAAAAUUGCAUCAUUUAAGGGUAAACAAAGUAUUUCAUAUGAGCAUGAAAAAUCACAUGUUGAUGAAUUGAUGAAAGAAAAUGAAGUGCUUAAGAAAAAGAGUAAUGAGCUUAGAAAAGUUACUAAGCACUCAAAAAUGUGUGUUUGAUAAAGGAGUGAUACGGGAAAGUAUCUAAAAAAAGAAAAUCGUAUAUUUUCCCACCAUAACAUGCAAGCCAACUCCCUAUUUCAUGGAAAUGAUUAUUUGGAAACUUCAAGAGCCUGAAUCAUGCAUUUAUCAUGUGCAAUUCCUUCAAUGGGCCUCCACAUUUGAUUGAGCCCAAGUUGUUAGAAGCAAUCCAUUAAGCACUUCUUUGAAUUUCUUUGCUCGAGCUCUUGUAACGGAUCCGACGGGAACUUGAAUAGGAUCUAAAUAUGCCUCAUCCCACGUGCUUGUGAUAGUCUUGAAGAGGAUUUGUACCCUCCUCUUGAAGAGGAUUUGUCCUCAAAUCAUCACCUACAUCAAAAGGACUAAAAUCAGAAACAUUAAAAGUAGCACUUACAUUGUACUCAUCAGGAAAAUCCAAUUUGUAUGCGUUGUCAUUGAUCCGUUCCAAAACUUGGAAUGGGCUAUCCCCUCAAGAUAAUAACUAAGAUUUCAUUCGUUCUAGAAAUCGUUCCUUAUGCAUGUGUAACCACACCCAAUCGCCAAGUUCAAAGAAUAGCUUAUGUCGCCCUUUGUUGGUUUGUUUAGCAUAUUGUUCAGUUCUCCGCUCAAUGUUGAACUUCGCCCUCUCGUGUAUCUAUUUAACAAUUUUAGCCUUUUUCUUGCCAUAUAAGUUAACAUGCUCAGAAACAGGUAAUGGAGUUAAAUCCAAUGGGGUUAAAGGAUUAAAACCAUAAAUAAUUUCAAACGGUAAAUACUUAGUAGCAGAAUGAACGGAAUGAUUAUAAGCAAACUUAACAUGUGGUAAACAUUCUUCCCAAGUUUUGAUGUUCUUUUUAAUGAUAGCUCACAAUAGAGUAGAUAAAGCUUUAUUCACAACUUCUGUUUGACCAUCAGUUUGAGGGCGACAAGUAGUUGAAAACAAUUGUCCUGGGCAUACCAUGCAGCCUUACAAUCUCCCUAAAAAUAGGUCAGCGACAUUAGAAGCAUCAUCCGUUUUGUGGCAUGGAAUAAAAUGUGCCAUCUUUGAAAAUCUAUCUACAACUACAAAAAUUGAGUCUUUCCCUUAUUUAGACCAAGGUAAACCUAGUACAAAAUCCAUCGAAACAUCAGUCCAAGGUACAUUAGGUAUUGGCAAAGGGAUGUAUAAUCCAUAAAGUUGCACCUUCGAUUUGACUUGCCUACAAGUGCCACAUUUACCACAAAAUCUCUUAACAUCUCAUUUCAUAUGUGGCCAAUAGAAGUGUUCCUGUAAAAUUGCUAGAGUCUUUACAACUCCAAAAUGCCCCAUUAACCUUCCUCCAUGGGAUUCUCUCACUAACAAAUCUCUCAAAGAAUAGUUAGGCACACAUAGUUUAUUCUCCCGAAAUAAGUAGCCUUCAUGCCUAAAGUAUUUACCGACUGUGGUCUUUUCACAAGCUUGGUAAUCAACACUAAAAUCAUGGUCAUCAGCAUACAAUUCUUUAAUAUGUUCAAAACCAAGUAGUUUAGCAUUAAGUGUUGAGAUUAAGACAUACCUGUGGGGAAGCGCAUCUGCAACAACAUUUUUUUGCUUGUAACAAAUGACAUAUGGAAAUGUCUCUAUGAAUUCUACCCCUCGAGCAUGUCUCUUGUUCAGCUUGUGUUGGCCUUUAAGAUGUUUCAAGGACUCAUGAUCGGUGUGAAUCAUGAACUCCUUAGGCCAUAGGUAGUGCUGCCACGUUUCUAACGCUUGAACUAACAAAUACAACUCCUUAUUGUAAGUAUGGUAGUUUAAGGCUGCCCCACUCAGUUUUUCACUAAAGUAACCAAUUGGUUGUCCCUCCAACAUUAGGACUGCGCCAAUACCAAUACCUGAGGCAUCACAUUCAAUUUCAAAUAUUUUAUUAAAGUUAGGCAAAGACAAUAAGGGAGCAUUGUUCAGUAAGCGGUGCAGCUAAUGUGCUAAAGUCUUUUACAAAUCAUCGGUAGAAACUAGCAAGCCCAUGAAAGCUUCUCAUAUUACUUACACUUGUGGGACUCGGCCACUCUUCAAAUCACAAGCCAUUUGUAAAUAAUGCUUAAAAUAUCGGCCUCCCCUUGGGGUCCCAUCCAGACUAAAGCAGUCCAAGAACUCAAGCAACUCUACCAACAACCAGUUCCAUUAAAGAUACCCAUAGAUGGCCAAAGAAUUCUCCAGACAGACGCAAGUGAUAAUUAUUGGGGAGCAAUCCUUUGGGAAAGAUUAGAUGACAAAUAAUACUAUUGUGCCCACGCCAGUGGUCAGUUCAAAGAAUCGGAAAAACACUACCACGUCAUCUACAAAGAAGCCUUAGCCGUGAAAUAUGGAAUUCAAAUAUUUGAGUUUCAUUUAGUUGGCCAUAACGUUUUGGUCAGAUUAGAUAACUACAGGAACAAGACACUACCAGACAAAUAGUUGUUCCAUCUCAAAAAUUGGUUUACUAGGUAUGACUUCACAAUCCAGCAUAUAAAAGGAGACAAGAACCUGAUCCCUGACCUUUUAUCCAGACCUCCUUCUAAAUCAACUUCUAGUUCCUCAUCCAUUUUAGUCACCUCUCUAUUAACCAUUCCUGUCAUAGCAAUGGCACCAUCCUUACCUUUCAUAGCCCUUACCAAAAAAUCCUUUCCAUUCAAUAUAACAUUUUCCUCACCACAUCAAAUUCAAGAAUUCGCAACCAAAUUUCUUUUCCGAUAUUUCAUGAACAUCCAUCAGUAAAAGCCCUACAAUUUCCCAAGUUUCAACCCAGACAAACUCUUCAUCACAUGCCUUACCAUUGAUCCAUUUGUUUCUAUCAUAGAAGAUGAACUUUGGUAUCUCUGGUGUCUCAUUGUCCUCUAUGCCACAAAAAUUAUCUUCCCAGUCCAAUAUAUUCUCUGUCAUCUCUUUGACCCUUCCCAAACUUCCUCCCUCCUUUGGACACUUUUUGAAGGGUUUUCACCGCUUUCUUGGUGGUGUAAACAACUUCAGUCAAUCUAUGAUAAAAAUCAUCUUAACAUUCUCCCAUAAUCAGAAGGUGAUUUGUUCACCACAGUUUUCAUAGUCCAUCGACCUUAUUUCCAAUAUCCUGUGACAAAAUUAUUUUGGACUCAGCAUUAAGCUUAUGAAUGGAUAACUGUCCCACAUCCAUUUCCCCUUUCUCAUGAUCCACAAUUGGUUAACGAUCUGAGAUCCUUUCUUCUUGAACUUAUCCAUGUUCAACAUCCAUCUCCUAACAUUCAACAUACCUCUCUUGUACCAAAACACGAAAUUCUCCACAUCCCAACCCACACCACAACCAACACUCCUCCAGCAACGGGUAUUCUCAUCAAAGAAGAAAAGCCUGACUACAUUGAUGUCCUAUUUCAAGAUUCCCAAGACCCUUGGGAAGAUUUUACUUCUCUUCUCCAGACAUUUGGUGAGUCCUCACAAUCAGAUCCUUCCCAAAUAACGCCAACUCAACCACAAGGAACAACACCGUCUCCUUCAGCACCCUCCAAAACUGACAUUGAUUAUGAGAGCAUGUAUGCCAAUGUCGUCAUCACACAACUUUUGAUGCAGCAGCCCAUGUGACUCCCAUGUGUCCCUUAUCUUGUAAAUAUCAGCUUUGGAUGCUUUGCUUUGUCUUAUGUAAAAGUCAUAGUCGGUGUUCUUUACUUUCUAAAAGUGUGUGCCCAGUUGUCGAUUAUAAUCAUUCAAGGGGUCUUGUCCUUGAUGAUUUUCUAUAUAAGGCACCUUAUGUUUCAAUUGUAAGCAGAAGAGUUUUAUGAAAUAAAAAUUUCCCUGUAAGAUAUUCUAUCAUGACCUUUUAAGUUUCUUCCAAGUUUUCUCUGUUAAGUUAGAAGAACUAUAGACUUCCAUAGCCGUUCAUCUCUAUCUAUAACAAGUAUGCUCUGCACUUACCUCUCUAAAGGAUCUUGUGCAUCAAAAAGUUCUCCUUAAGCCUAGUUCUAGACAGUUUAACACAGUUCACUCUUUUCCCCCAGUGCCAUGGUGGCAUUCUUGUCUGAGUGGUAAGUGGGAGACAGUCGUCCCUACUGGUCACCUAGUCAGAUUUGUUUCUAAGUAUAUCAGUUGGAAACCUGAGCCUGCGGACUAUUGGUCCAAAGGACAACUCUGUUGUCAUUGCUCUGGUAUAACAACACCACGUACUUGGUUCACAGUCUGGUAUCAGAGCCAUACAUUUCCUACCUGAGGUGGUAAAUAUGGAGUUUAUAGUAUCUUUCUAAUCACACAGAGAAAACAUCUUCACAAAUAUGGCAUCUACUUCAAGCACUUUAACUUCAUCUUAAUUUACCUUUGAUCAAUCUGCUAUAUCUAUUUCUUCUACUCUUUCACUUCCUAAAACUUGCACUAAACAUGUGACCUCUAAGAUUGAAAAUCUAGUAGAAUAUUUGUAUGUCCCAGAUUCAGCCCAGGUUAGUAAAUCUUCUAUGCCCUUAAUCAGUCCAUAUCAACUCUAUAGAUGUGGAAACACUUUUACUCGUAGUAUCAGAACUCUGAUUUCUACGAAAAGGCCUACCCUAAAAGAGCAUGUCCAAUCUUCCUGUCUUGAUCAAUGUGCUCUUCAAGCCACACAAGCGGAACAAUAUGUUACGCUUGAAAUUCCCACAGAUUUAAUAGCACAAUGGCAAAGAGAAGGAUACACCCACCUUCAUCUUGGUGGUGUACGCCUCAUCUUGACUCUCCAUGGACGAAAAGGUCUUCCUGUUACAGUCAUACUAGCCUUGCUUGAUACAAGAUUCAAAUAGUACCAACACGCUGUAAUUGGUACUGUUUUGACCACUCUUCAUGCUGACAGUGCUCUCCUUACCUUCUACCCAAAUUUCAAUCUAUCUUUAUGAGACCCAAACCUACCCACUGCUUUCAAGGUACAAAUCCAACUUCAAGGAGCUGAACAAGCUGUUACAGCAAAAAUGACUACUCUCCAUCAGCAGCUAGUGUAUAUGUUAUAGAAUCAUGCACUAGAUCUUCCAAGCCCCCAAACUUCUUCAGACGCUCUUAUGAUUCUUGUAGAUACAGAGACUAUUCCCACAAUAGUCCAGAUCCCUAGGCAGAUCCCAAAGCACGAGCUUCUCAAAUUAAUGCCAAUGGAAUGGCUUUCAAAUUAUGAGAAAUUCCAUCAAAAUUCCCAGCCAAUCCACACUUCUGAAGCUUUCUUUGAAAAAAGAGAUUAUGGUACAGUAAAAAUGACCUUUCAGCCACCAUCCGAGCCAACUGCUCUAAGAACCUCUUUUUCAUACACAUCCAUGAUUACCGUAGUAUCUAUUGCUCAAGAAAACAUUCCCAUUCAUAGCUUUUUCUCAAAAGGCUAUCCCAUCUAUCUUGAUAAAUUAGAUGGACAUUUCUUAUGGGAUGUUCCUCAAAAUGCUGUUGUACAGAAUCAAGCAAUCACUACCUUGCAUCAUAAGGUAGACAACAUUACUCACAAAACCAACUAGGUUGAGAGAAAGGUUGAUACCAUCUCAGAUAAGUUAAAUCAGAUUUAUCAAAAUCUUCAUGACAGAGUUACUUAACUUGACUCUGAACUUCGGGCUAUGCUUGUUCAAGGAGUCUAUAGUCCUGAUUUUGAUAAAAAAGAAGCUGAUAUAAGAGCUUUGAAAGCUGAAAUUGCCAGAAUUGAUUCAGAAAAAGUCCAGUCUACCCUUUUUACGAGUUCUGCUCCUUUAUCAGUAAUUAAUCCUACCUAUCAUCCUUUCUUACCAUCAACUUCUUCCCGAACAUAUGAUCCUUCAAAAUGUUUUGGUAUGACCCAUACUCUGUUUCCUCCACAUCCAUAACCUCAGCCAAAACCAAAGAAAACCCCAAAAUCAACCCCAAUUUAAAAAUCCAUUCCUUAGCAAAAUCCUCAGACAUCCCGAUUUGAACCAUCACCCUCUCCAUCACCAACUUCUUUAGAUUCACUAGAAAAACAACCCAUGUACCAAUAUUCUGCUCACCAAAUUUCCCAUUCUCCAUCUCUAGAUUCUUCUACUGAAAAUUUCCCUUCACAAUCCGAUUCAUCAUCAAUUGAGUCAUCUGAUUUGUCUGAGUCAGGCACUUCUGAUUCAAAUCUAACUGAUAUUUCCAAACUCCUCAUGGCAGAACCUACUGAAUAGUCUGGUGCCACUGACACUGGCCCAUGCAUUGAAACUGUUGACACUGUGAAAAGAAAAUCACGAAACUGGUGAAUCUUCUCAGUCCAUUCCACCUCAGCCAAAAGCCUCCAAACCUUCAAAUGGACCAUGGUUUACUUUUGAUGAUAUCCCUCCAACAAAAUGGAGAGAAAGAUUACAAGAGUUGUCUGCUUGGAUUGAUCUCCAAAUGUUAACUCCAGAAGCAACAACCCAAUCUAUUCUACGAGAAUUCAGUACUCGGUUUACGGGUUCUCUUCGAUAUUGGUUUGACAGUCUUGGACAAUAUAAACAACUUCAGUUCAUUCAGAUUCCUGAUGUCUCUCAGGCUUUAGCCCUUCUCCAUGAUCAAUUUAUUGGAGAACCAAGUGUUACUUUUGAAGCCCCAAGACGUGAUUAUCUCAACAUGAAAUGUUCUCUCAACACAAAAGAUCUUCAUUACCACAACAAACGGAUGUCUUUGCUUUAUUAUAAGCUAAAUGGAUACAAUGAUGCUACACUCAGACAUAUAUUUCUGGCCUCUCACAUUAUCAUUGGGAAAAUUAUUCCAGAUUGCUAUGGGAUGUCUUGACAAAUUGUGUGAACAAAAGAAAUUCUUCCAGGAACUUAUGAAAGACAAAGAGCCUUUAAGAUCUUCUUGCAAAAAGCCUUACUUGGCUAUUAAGUGCAAAGAUCCAAAAAAGUGUGAUUGCUCAUCAAAGAAAAAGUCUCAUUUAAGGAAAUCCAUAUUCUCAUUUCCAUCUAGGAAAUGACGUACUAAACAAUUUCGCUUUUUCAGAAAAAAGCAAUCCCACUCCAGAGAUUUUCCUAACAGAAAGAAAAGCAGAUGUUUCAUUUGUAAAAAGAAAGGUCAUUUUGCCAAGGACUGCCGUGUCAAAGCCCCAUAAUGCGGUAAAACUUAUCCAACCCCUGGAAUCCACUACAGAAUUUUCCCAAACCACAGACCAAGUUGAACACUUGUUUUCUGAACAAGAAGAGCCAAAUGAUGAUACAGUCUUUUGCUUUACCAGCAGAAUCCAGUGAUUAGAACAAUUCUGAAUUUGAACCAAUCUACACAGUCCAACCUUCUUCCAUUCUAAUCCAUGACCAUACCAUACCCAGUAUUUCUGUCAAAAUCCAAAUUGUCCCUUCCAGAUAUCAUAAACCCAUCACAGCCAUUGGUUUCCUCGAUACUAGUGCUCAGCGAAGCAUGCUUAACCUGCUAUUCUUCCUACUGAGUAUUGGAAAACUCAGGAGGAACACUUCAAAGCAGCUGACAGAAAGAUUUUUACAACUAAAUUAGUUACUAAACAUCUAAUAGGAAUCCAAUUAUUUCCUAAUUGUGUUGUUUGGAUAAAACUAAUUGGUUCAUCUUUGCCAAACAAAGAUCUCCUUUGUAGGUUUUGACAUCCUACAUCAGGCAAAAAAUGUCCAGAUUACUUCUUCUGGUCUCCAUUACAAAUCCAUGAUUAAACUCUUCACCAACACUCUAAAGAUCUAUUCUUUAGCCAAUUCACCACCCACAUACCAGGCCAUUACAGAUCAAAUCCUCAAAUUUUGCCCUGAAAACCAUAGCCUUUUUACCCAUCCAAACCCGUUAUAGAAAAACCCAAAAUUCUUCAUAUUCUUACCUUUCAAACUAAAUGAAGACAACAACCCAACCAAAGCUAGCCAUACAGGAAUGACCCCACAAGACCUUAUCUUGGCCCAACAAGAAUGUGCUCAAUUGUUAAGACAAGGCCUUAUUGAACCCACAAAUUCUCAAUGGGCCUGUCAAGCUUUUUAUGUUGAAAAAAGGUCUGAAAUUCUUCGUGGCAAAAAACGAUUAGUCAUUGACUAUCAGCCACUCAACAAUUUUCUCCAAGAUCAGAAAUUUCCAUUACCUUACCAAAGACGUCGAUCACGACGUAAAAAGAAGUCUGUUCUUUUGUCUCCAUGUAAAACUCAACCUCAUUUUCCUCCAAAUGAUCCAGAAGCCAAAACUAAAACCUCAUUUCCUCCGUAUAACACCACACCCCAUAAACAUAAGCCAAUACAAACCUGUCGUCAGCAAGCAGGUUUCAUUUAUGCUCCUCAACCACUUUCUUGUAUGAUGUUCUCAUCCGCAUCAGCAUCAUAUCAAGACUAAUGGUCAGACUGAAGAACCUAGACCUUUUGAGACAGUCCUCAACUGGCAGUCUAAGAAUGCCAGAGCCCAAAACAAUGUGUUGCAAAGACUUGAUGCUAAAGUUGAUUCAGUAGCAUAUCAGGUCCGUAGUAAUGAUGGCAAGGUUGAUUCAAUUGCUUCUCAACUUGAAAAAAUGUAUUUUGACAUGAAAGCCCGUGUUUCUCAAUUGGACUUAGAUCUUCAUCAGAUGAUAAAAAAUAGAUAUUGGGGUCCUGAGUUUGACUAGAAAGAAGCUGAGAUUCGGAAGGUUAAAGCUGAGUUAGAACGGAUAGAUGCAGAGAAACAACAACCCUCUUUGUUUUCUCCAUCCCCCUCUUUACCAUUACCAACACCAUCUUUUGGCUCAUACCAAUCCUUCUACUCUCCAAUGAUGUAUGCUCGUCCGGUAGAUUAUAAAAAAUUCUUUGGAAUGACGAAUACUUUGUUCCAAAACAUACCUACCCAAUCUCCACCAAAACCAUCAAGAUCUUCCACUUCAUCCCAACAUAAAACAACAUCACUUAUACCACCUACAACUACACAGCCAUCAUUAAUACCCACUUCUUCACAACCCAUAUUAGAUCUUCCUAUUCCUCCACUAUCUACACCAGACCCUACAGCUAUUGAUGAGUCAGCAGCUGACACCGAACCAACUGCCCCUGCUCCUGAUCCUACACCAAGACCUACCACUGGUCCAUGGUUCACAUUUGAUGAUAUUCCAAAAUCAAAAUGGGCAUACAGAUUCCAGGAAUUCUCAGCCUGGAUUGAUGUCCAAAUGAUCAGACCCGGUGCAAACACUCAAUCAGUCCUCCGAGAGUCUUGACUGGUUCGAAAGUCUUGGCCAGUAUCGCCAAUUACAAUUUGUCCAAAUCCCUAACAUUCCUACUGCUUUGGGACUCAUCUAUGAGCAAUAUCUAGGUGAACCAUCUACAACCCAAGAAUUGGUAAGAAGAGAGUUCCAUCAAAUGAAAUGUUGUUCUUUACAAAAGAAAGAUUUGGAUUUUCAUUAUAAAAGGAUGUCCAGUCUUUAUUACAAGCUCAAUGGCUUCAAUGAUUCAACACUCAGACAUGUUUUUGUAGCAUCCUUACCCAAGGAGUUGUUACCUGAAUUGCAACGACAACUCAAAGUGCACAAUUUGGAGGUAUCCAAUUUAUCUCUUGGAAAGAUUUAUCAAUUUGCUAUAGGUUGUCUUGAGAAACUCUGUGAGCAGAAAGAAUUCUUCAAAGAUCUCAUGAAGGAUAAACCACCCUUUAAGAGAGCGUGCAAAAAACCAUAUCUUGAGAUCAAGUGCAGAGAUGACAAGCAUUGCACAUGUAUCCCAAAGAAAAAGUCUCAUUUCCACAAGUACCCAACAAAACCCAAACACAGGUCUUCCAAACACAAAAAACCUUAUAGGUUUUUCAAAAGAAAAGACCCAGCUCGAACCCACAGAACCAAAGGCAGUCGAUGCUUCAUUUGUAAGAAAAAAGGCCACUUUGCAAAAAAUUGUCCUAACCGACCAACCAAAGUUGUGCGCCUUAUUAGUCACCUUCAAUAAUCGUCAAUGAUUUCUAAUAAUGAGGAUAUUGAGUCUCUCUUUACAGAGCAGGAUGACUAUGAUGAUUUCACUGCUUUUGCAUUAGAUGAUUCAAGUGAGUCUUCAGACUCUGAGAAUAUGCCCAUCAUACAUACAGUCCAACAACUCUCUGUUUCCCAACAGGCACCAAUACCUUCAGUCAAGCUUCACCUGCUGCUUUCCAAAUUUGAUAAACCAAUCUCUCUUAUUGGUUUUAUUGACACAGGUGCUCAAAGAAGCAUGUUAAAUCCUUCCAUACUUCCUUCCCACUGCUGGAAAAACCAUACUGAAUAUUUCAGAGCUGCAAAUAGUCAGUUGUUCCAAACCAAUCUUAUUAC